rnacentral:lncRNA from 1 species
CAUCGUUAGUCCCAAACUUUUAUCCCAGUUUUUAUUUUGGUCUCCAAUCUCUUAUUUUUUUUGCAAUCAGAUUUUUAACCUUCAAAUUAAUUGUAUCAUCGGUUCCUAACAAUUGCUUACUUUUCCGCUUUGGUCCCUAAGUGCACAUUGCAUAAAGCCUAAUUUCAACCAUUUUUAAUAUCAUUCUCCAUACAUAUAAGCAGGCACUACCUAUCAUACCUAUAGUGUAAGUGGCACAGAACUUGAUGGUUGGUACCUGAGGUUCCGAGUUCGAAUCUUAGUUGAUUCAUAUUUUUAGCUAAGUUUAUUUCUAAAUGAAAUAAACGAAACGAAUAGCAUGCUAUCUAUCUCUUAAAAAAAAAAAAAAAAAAAUUUUAGACACGACGCCUACGGACUCUUUUACAUUUUUGGCGUACCUACGGACUCUUUUACAUUUUUGGCGUAAAACUAAAUGUGCUAUUGAGCUCUUACAAUGCAAGGAGGGGUUUAUUGAAGUUGAUGUAGCCUAUAUUCACCAAAAAUAAUAAAAAAUUAAAUUAGCUGAUAUAUACUUGAAACAGAAUAUAAAUGCUAGGAAUCUAAUAGCAAAUGAAAAAGGGAAAAUGUUAGGGGUCGGUGGUUAGGGAUGCAAACGGAUCCGGGUUGGUGGAGCUUCCGCCCCGAUCCGUCCCGACAGGGGCAGUAAAUGGAAGAAAAUAAACGAAUUCGGGGCAGGAAACAGGUAAGUUUUACGAUCCGAGACGGAUUCGGGGCAGAAAACGGGGGAAAUUUUGAUCCGCCCCGAAUCCGCCCCGAAUCCGUCCUGUCAUGAUCCGCCCCGAAUCCGUCCCGAAUCUACCCCGAAUCCGCCCCGUCAUGAUCCGCCCCGAAUCCGCCCCGAAUAUCAUUUAUAUUUUUUAAAAAAUAUUCCUAAAAAAUAAUAUAUUUACAAAAAAGCUCAAAAUACAAAUAAGUUAUUACUCUUAUUUCUAAUGUAUUUGAAACAUUUGAAUUUUGUUUUGAAUUGUGAUUGAUAUUUUUAAUUUUUACUAUUAAUAUUGUUAAAUUAUAUAUAUAAUAUUAUUAAAAAUUAUUAAUUUAUAUUUUACAAAAUAUUAAUAAUAUUAUAAUUUUAUAAAAAAUAUUAGUUGGCGGGAUGGAUUCAGGACGCCGGCGGGAAGCAAGUUACGAGGGGGGGCGGAUUAUGAGAUGUAUUUUUUAACCCGUCAUAGAUUCGGGGCGGGAGGCAGGGUNCGAGGGGGGGCGGAUUAUGAUAUGUAUUUUUUAACCCGUCAUGGAUUCGGGGCGGGAGGCAGGGUGGGUUUUUGCUAGUAGGGGCUGGAGGCGGGCGGAUCUCCCGCCCCCAAUCCGCCCCGUUUGCAUCCCUAUCGGUGGUGCAAUUAACUCCUCAGAUUUGAGGUGGUGGACUGGUAGGCCGGGCUCAUUAAAAAGCUCGAAGCGUUAUUUCGUUGGAGGCCAACAAUUUAGAGAGAGAACAAGAGGUACGGUUGGGCUGUCAGGCCCACAAUCUCCGAAUUAUAUUGGUGCCCGGGUCCGCCCGCGCAGCUCAUCAAAAACCCUAGAAGAGAGCGCUUCUACAUCAUCAUCAUCCUCCUCCUCCUCCUCCUCCUCCUCCACCUCUGCCUCCGCGAUGGCGUCGUCGUCGACGGUGCUCCAGUUCCACCCCUCGGCGACAAUCGUGAGCGCGAGGGUCCAACCCGUCGUCCUCUUCAACAUCUGCGACAGCUACGUGCGCCGCCCCGACCAGGCCGAGCGAGUCAUCGGCACCCUCCUCGGCUCCGUCUCCCCCGAUGGCACCCUCGACAUUAGGAACUCCUACGUCGUCCCCCACAACGAAUCCGCCGACCAGGUUUUCUCUCUCUCUCUCUCACGAGCUCGACGGUGUAGGGUUUCGGCGAUUUUUAUACUCUUCUUUUCCUUUGAAUACUCUGAGAAUAUAUCUGUGUGAUCGCUGAAUACACGAGAAUUCUAGAUGUGUUGUUUGGAUCCGAAGUGCUUGCAUAGGUUUGAACUAUGGUAGAUCAAGUUCACUUGUGACGCGUGCAUGCGUGCGUUCUCUUCAGUUUACUUGCCGAACUAGUUAUUGGAGAAGUUUGAUUUGUUGAAUUUGUAGGAAAGCGGCUUCAAAUAAUGUUCGAACUACAGCAAAGUGUUUCUGAAGUUGUCGUCUCAGUGUAUGAUCCGAGAGUUUAAUCCGAGUACCAUUUUGCACCAAGUUGAAGGAUUAACUAUAUUUAUGCCUUUAUUAUUAUUAUUAUUAUUAUUAUUAUUAUUAUUAUUGUACCUUAAUCCAAAUAGAAUAAAUCGGAAGAUAGUAUAACUUUGACAAAUUUGCCGGCUGUGCUGCACGAGUCUUAUGGGUGGAAUAGGUUUGAGGUUCUGUGAAGCAACAAUCAACCUCAGUUACACUCACUGGAAGAGUAGAACGUCCACAUCAGAUAAUACCAUGCAUUCAUCCUUCCCCUGUGCAGGGAAAUAAUAACUAAUAUCAUGUGUGCUAAAAUGGAACUAGAUAUUUUACUGAUAGUUUAAUUUUGUUGGAAAGCUUGGAGCCACAUCUUUUUGAACUUGUUAUUAACAAAUUGAAUAUGGACUGAGAGUUUAAGUUACCCAUAAAUCUCCAGUCAUCAGAAGGUGCUGAAGUAGAUUUUGCAAUUUAGGUUCAAUUCAUGGCUCUUACAUGGAGUUAGGUGUAUUUGUUAUUGAUGUUAUCUUCUUAAUUUUCAACCUUCCUGCCAUAGAAGUCCAUUAGUUAGUCUCAUGUAUCAUUAAGAGAUUCAAGUGUUUCUAAACCUUCAUCCAGUCUAGCCUUGCUGAAGCCUUUGACAUCUGCUGGUUUUUGAUCUUUUAAACCUUGUUCCUUCUGUCCUCUGCAGUAGGUUUUCUUCUUGUCAACUUUGGGGAAUGGACCAGAAAUAGCAGUUUUAAUUAUAUUGAACUGAUUGGCCUUCAUAAGGUCCAUUUGGGUGUAUGAUGCAACACCAAAAUCGUUCUCUACCUGCAUUUCACACGGUUGAACGUGUUUGGUGACUGACACAAACUUCUUUUCCCGAUUUCAGGGCGCUCAAUUGUAUCUAUUUUUUGCAUUCGUGAAUAUUUUGCUCACCUUAGCCCAAUACAUGUUUUUGCAAGCGAGCAUAUUCAAUGGGUGCAGUACUCCGCAACUCAUCACUAAAUUAGGCCUUAAUGAUUAAAACGUCACCAUUUGCAUAUCCUUCAGCCAAUUCUAUCAUCACUUCAUAGAUACGUUGAGCUGCUUAUAAAUCAGACAAAAAGUAACUUAUGCAAGGGUUGCUCUCUUUUGUUCCGAAUCAAGUAAUGUAGUUUGAGAGGGCAUUAUAUCUAUUCAGUCUAAAGUAGUCAGGCAUUCUAUUUCUGAAUAUGUUACCUUAAAGACCUGCUCAGUUCUGAACGAUGAAUUUUAGCUUGACUUAUUUUACUUCUUGCCUUUUGUCAUCAUAAUCACUUAAUAAUCUGUAAUACCUAGGAACUUUGAUACCAUUUUCCUCUUCCUAUUUUAUAGUUGGCUAUAUUUGUGAUUGCAGGUUGCUUUGGAUAUUGAUUACCAUCACAACAUGUUCAGUUCCCAUCAAAAGGUGAAUCCAAAGGAAGUGAUAGUUGGAUGGUAGGGAGAAUUGCUCUUGUUUGCCCGAUCUUUGUUGUUUGCGAUGUUAUCUGUAGCAGAGUUCUUGCUAUUUUCAAUUUUCAAAUAGUAAUUUGUUCCUAAAUUAGUAUUUUUAAUUAUUUUAUUGGAAAGCAGUUUAUGUAAUCCCUUUAAUUUGCCUCUGUACCCUUGCUACUCUUCUUUUUUUUUUUUUGGGUAGCAGUCCCAAGUCAAAGCCAGUAAACAUGUUAAAAAAUAAAUCACUCUUUGAUCCAGGUUUCCUUCUUUGAUGGUGAAAGUCCACUGGUUUAAGUUUGUACCAAUAAUCUAAUUCUGCCAGUGACCAAGUUAUGAGUUUAAGGUCUCACUAUUGCUUUUUAGACAUGUUAGUUGACAUUAAUGCAAGACAAUAUAAAUUACAGUUCAAUUCACAGCAUCAGAUUAGAGGAUUUUCUGGAGAGUUUCUCCUUAGUGCAUGACCCUUAAGUGCAAAGUGGAUCAUUUUCUGUUUACCUGGCUAUUGGCUUGUUUGCAAACUCUUGGUUUGAUGAGCGAUACUCUGUUCAGAUCUGAAAUUCCAUUUUGCUUUCUUAUUAUAAAGUGUAUAUAUAUUUAUCGCUUAUUUUCUGGAGUAAUUAUUUUGUUGUCAUGAAUUGCAAUUUUGGUAAUAACUUUAUGCUUACCGCCAAGGCUCAGAUGUAUUCGGAUCUAUUUAUCAAACUCUUAUGUAAAACGCGCUUUAUCAUGUAUUUGGUGUUUAUGCACCUGUUUUUUAGGUCAUUCCUUUGGAAAAAUGAUUGUCUGUAGACUGUAGGGGUAAAGUUGGUCUUUCUACACAUUUAUUUGUCUGUGGGGGUAAAAGGGAAAAAAACAAAGAUAAAAUGGUUUUUCAAGUUGUUACUUUGACCAUGACAGAACUUGCUUGCACUUUAUAAUCUUUAGUUGAUUUCUAUACUAAUACUCUGCUUUGUCAAAAAAGUUGUAUUUCAAUAAAUGUUGCCAUCAUUAAUUUUCUCUAAGUCCAUUUAUCUAACUGCAAUAAUACUCUGCCUUGGGCAGGUUUUCAACUGGCUUUGGUGUUUCUGGAGGGAGUGCACUGAUUCAUGAAUUCUAUUCGAGAGAAGUACAAAAUCCUGUUCAUCUUACUGUUGAUACUGGCUUUAGAAAUGGGGAGGCUUCCAUCAAGGCUUAUGUUUCUGUUAGCUUAUCUCUUGGAGAUAAGCAACUCGCUGCACAAUUUCAAGAAAUUCCUCUUGAUCUAAGGAUGAUUGAAGCAGAAAGAGUUGGAUGUAUGUCUUUUACUCGCAGUUGUUGUCUUUAGACAUGACAUUCCUGCUUAUAUUUGAAACUAAACCAACAUACUUUUUAUGCUUUUUAUCACAUAACUGUUUGAUCACAACUUGAUUCAGUCAAAUAACUGUUUGAUCACAACUUGAUUUUUAUGCUUUUUUUUUUUUCUCUUUUGAGCUGAAUUAUCUGAUUGAUGCUAUUUUCUUCCCAUAGUUUGAAAGAAGAUUUUGUUGUUUUUAAAAGUUUGAAGUACUCUGCUUUUUUUUUUUCUAUCACUUGAGCCUAUAGCCUGUCAAAGGAUUGUUAAAAGUUGGUCCGUGGCUCCACGUUAAGAGAGAUUGUGGCAUUCAUUUAUUCCCUCUUUUUUUCCUCUUCUCUCUUUUGACAGUUGACUUGCUAAAGACAACGAAUGUGGAUAAGCUUCCUAAUGAUCUAGAAGGAAUGGAGUCCUCAAUGGAGAGGCUGUAUGCUCUUAUUGAUGAUGUUUACAAAUAUGUGGAUGGCGUUGUUGUAAGAGUCCUAACUUCUGUUUUGUAGCUUCUUAAAUCUCUUAAUCUUAUCUUGUCAAAGUUCUGACUAUAAUUCUGACUGAUGUAUGACUGAUGUUCCCUUCCUAGGAAGGACGCAUAACACCAGAUAAUAACAUUGGUAGAUUUAUUGCUGACACUCUGGCUUCAAUGCCUAGAAUAUCUCCAGCAGCUUUUGACAAGCUAUUCAAUGACAAGAUUCAGGUAAGUUUAAAUUCCUUUUCAGUUAUAAGUUUAGUUGCACCACGUCGCUUGCUCAUUUAUAUGUUCUUUUCUUAUGCAUUUUCUAAUGUUCUUAAUAGGAUAAUCUUGCAUUGGUUUACUUGUCGAGCCUUAUAAGGACACAGCUCAGCAUAGCCGAGAAGUUGAACACGGCUGCUCAGAUCUUGUAGUUUUCUCCUGUAUACGAAUCGAAGCGGGUAACUUACUGAUGCUAUAUCUGCUAGUAAAUUUGAUCUAUAGUAUUCCUUAUUGAAGGUGUGAAAUCAGCAGGUUGGCAUAUUCUUGCUCCAUUAUUUUUAUGGUUUCUUAUUUUCAAAGAAUCUGAAAGUUCAUCUUGUUUCUGUGCUACUAUAGUACUACUUAGAGGUUCACUGUACUGUUGGGAUGUGGUUUAGUUCAGAGCAACUAGAGAGAUUUAUUGUUGUUGUUUCCGGAUGAGUAGGUUUUGUUCUCUCAUUUCUAAUGAAUUUGAUGUUUUUGUUCGACUUGUUUUGAGUUUUGACCUUGUGCAUUAUUUCAAAGCAUAUGUUGCCAUCCUUAUUCCUUGAAUGCUUUUUGGGUGACUGGAAACAAUGUAACCCGUCGAAAGUUUCAUGAAACUGAACCAUUUCUGACUGAAGUUGUUGUGCAUUUUUUUUUCCUCGUUUUUGUUUGAGAAACUAGAGUGAUCUCUUGUUCGAAAGUUUCAUGAAACUGAACCAUUUCUGACUGAAGUUAUUGUGCAUUUUUUUUUCCUCUCGUUUUUGUUUGAGAAACUAGAGUGGUCUCUUGACCGAAAGGCUUUGUUAAGCAGCUAGAAGGAUUUCGUUGUUCGUAUCUGUGAUGUACUUAUUUGUGAAAUGUGAAAGUUAUAUUAGCCUUGGGUCCUAACUGAUGAAAUCUAAGUCGUGUUUGGAAAAGGUAAGUUGAUAUAGUUUGUUAAAAGGGUGUUUGCAGGUAUUUUUGGUGGAGGAUGCGUCCCAUGUUUAGAUUUGUAGAUAUGUGAUUUAUCUCAGGUAGUGAUAGAAGAGAAUAGAAAGCUAGUGAAGAGGGAGUAAUGAGAGAACUAACACCAUCCUGCAGAACAUUAAAGAAAUGUUUUAGGAAUAGCGUAACUUUUUGAAGUUAUGUAAACUUUGGGGGUCUGGAAAAGCAGCUGGCAAUUUGGGAGGUGGUGUCAAACAGUUGAUGGCAUAUCAAAGCAGCUAACAAUUUGGACGAAGGUGUGGCUCUACCUUCAACUCCAGCCAAGAAUGAGGGAAUUGUAAUUGGAUAUGACUGCUUGGAACAUUAUCGUAUGAGGCCUACAGGGAUUGUGAAAUUUUAUUCAUGAUACAUAAGAUGUACCAAAAUUAGAUUGCAGUGAAUCCUUCGCAUAUAGAGCAUAAACAAAGAUAAGCUUAUUAAGACUAGAUUGUAGAGAUACUAGUACUCUUUUAAGAGGUAUAGGUUCCACAGCUCCACCCUUGAAGAAUGUGGGGCUGUAAUGGGUCAGGGUAGAAAAACUUUUAAUAGAGUACUAUUAUGAGAGUAAGGAUUGUUCCCAGGUAUUAGACUUGUUCCAAGGUGAAUUGAGGUGGAAAUUUAUGGCGAUUUUAGUAGGAUGAGAGUAAGGAUUGUUCCUAGAUAUUAGACACUUUCCAUGGCGAGUUGAGGUGGAAAUCUAUGGCAAUUGUGAUAUUGAAUCUAAGAGGCCAUUUGGUUGGAUGUUAUUAGAAAUACAGUAUAGUUGAAGAUGCAUUUAAUUGAAAGUGCAGUGGUUGAUAUUGCGUAUAUUUCGUUUGGUUGGAUGUAAUAGAAAGCACUGAAAUUAUGGGCGUAGUUCUAAGUGGCACAGUUGGGUCUCCUCAUGCAGCCUUCUCAUGUAGUUCCAGUUGCAACUGUUGGAUUCAAAUGCAUAAAAUGAAAUACUAGUUUGGAUUUGCAUAUAGUUACAAUAGUAAUACAGUUGUAAUUAUAUACAGCCAAAUAUUCCCUUAACAUUAGAAGAUAGUAUAAUUGUAACUAAUAUGCAAUUAAACGGUCCCUAGCGUUAGAAGAUGCUUUUGGCCAACUUUUUGAGUUGGAAUAUUUUCCUCCAGGUAUGUCUGCAUUUCCCUGGAGCACUUGUGAAUGAACAUUCAGUAUGUAAGCAGUACAAGGAUGGGUACACAGGGCUAUAUGCUAACUUAAUCUGUAUGUCUAGUUACAUAAAGCAAUCGCAGUUACGCUAGUUGGAAAUUUGAUAAAAAAGUUUUCGCUAUCCAAACUUAGGCUCAUAUCUUUGAUUUGAAAUUAGAGAAUUGUGUUGUCCAUAUUUCAAAUAGUUGUUUAUUUUUAAUCAUCAUUCCGAGAUCAUUUGAUUAUGCGAUAAAUGAUGAUCUAUGUCAAAUACUGUGGAGCCAUUGAUUUAGAUAUUUUGUUAUUGAAAUGAAGUGGAAGUAGGCUGACCUAACUUAACUUUUAGUACACCUCUGUCUCAGAUAUGACCUUGAAUAAGCACUCGUUCCCUUUUUUCUAUUAUUUUUAUUAUGUUCGAGAGAGAGAGAGAGAGAGAGAGAGAGAGAGAAAAUUACAGCACUCUUCGGACAGAAGAUAAAUUAAGAAUAUUAGAAGCAUGUAUUUCUUCCCAGUAGCGGAGAGAUGGGGGGAAUCAGAAGAGUUGGGAGUUUGGGGGCGCGGGGGGAUUGGGGCAUGGUAAAAAAGCAGAACGUGAUCCGUAGAAGCAGUCAGGAGGAAGAGUCCAAAUGCGGUGGGUGAGGAAGUCAAAAAGCGAGAAAGGGCAUCAGGCCCGGAUUGAUUCGGGUGGAUCGGCUUCAUUUUUCUCCUCUCUCUUUCUCUUCUCAGCUCUCUGUUCGACUGGGACUGGGGGAUAAUAAUAGUAAUAAUAGUAGGAAUGAGAAUAAUAACAGUAGGAAUGAGAAUAAUGAUGAUAAUAAUGGGAGUAAUAAUCUGAUCUGGUAAAUUUCCAGAAUGCAGCAGACCAUGCGCGUGGGGACCGAGAUCAUACUUUUCAUGAAGACAGGGAGAAAGAGACACGGAAAAAAGGCACCCCCUCCGCUCUCGUCGAAUUCACGCGCCUUCUCUCUCUCUCUCUCUCUCUCUCUCUCUCUCUCUCUCUCUCUCGAACAAAACACAAUCACCCUUUAAACCACCCCGAGGCCCCUCUAAUUUGUUUGUAAUUGGCUUCUACGUACCCCGAGCGUAGAUAGAGAAUCUCAUCUCGGACGAGCGGGAAAGGACAAGGGAGAGAGGAGAGAGGGAGAGUCCCUUCCCUCUCUCUAUCUCUUUCUUUCUAAUUAUUAAGAUGUUUUUUCUUUAAAAAAAAAAAAAAAAAAAAAACUGUCACAGCUAGGUUGUGGAAUUUAAGUAGUGAUUCAUGCAUCCACAUGCAGAUUUUACUGUACUGUACUCCAAAUUUGAACCAUCCUCCUGAAGACGUCGUUCUCUUUUUUUUUUUUUUUUUUUUUUUUUUUUGGAUUUUGCUUCCCUUUCCUUUUUGACCGCUUCGGGCUCGCUGUUAAUUUGCCUCGUUUCCUCAAAGAGUUCUUUUCCAGUGAGUUAAUUGUAUUUCUCUUCUCCUCCUCCUUUUUUUUUUUAAAAAAAAAAUUUAGUUUGAGUAAGAGAAUUAGUGUAGUGAAAUAAUAAACAUUUUAAAAAUUUUGUUACCAAUGAUAAAAUCUUCCAUCUUAAAUUUCACUGUAUGCUAGAUUACGAAUUAAGGCUGGUUAUGUGUCCUUAAUUUGUUCGGACAAAAAGCGCUCUGUUUGAGUCCAACCGUCUCCGAUGCUGCUAUCAGUACUUGCAUUUGCUGUAUCUUCUUUUACUCCGACCAAAGUUUAUUUGGUCACAACUUCGGACCCGUUUAACUGUUUCCGGACAAAUAUAUAUCAUUCUAGUAGAAUUUUCUUUCCCUGAAGUACUAUAUAUAUAUUUCUUAGAUACAAAAAUCCUUAGAAAUGUUGUUGAUGCUCUAGAUAUGGGAAAAAAGGAAGAAGAAGAAGAAAAUCUAAUUUUACAUUAGAGAUUCUGCUUCUAUUGCCCAACAAUUUGAAUGUUCAACAAUGCUUUUCAUCUCCGCACUCUUAUUAUCGUACUUUUUCGAGAAUAACAUCAGUACUAGUUAAUUUUGUCCCACGAGAACAUCAAAGCGACAAGAGUAGUGUUUCCCCAUGCGAGUAGAAAGGUUUUCAGUGGUACUACAAGGUGUAGCAGAGAGGAAAGUGGAGGUCAAAAAUGAGUAUUAUGGUCGUUGAUCAUGGAGUCGUGUUGGUCACGCGUGCAUGCACCGCACCACAGUUUAAAGGACCAUUCUCACUAGAAUUCAAUCAGUCAGAGGACGAGGCGGGGGAGAGAGAGAGAGAGAGAGAGAGAGAGAGAGAGUAGUGAUCAUUAUUCGUUCAGAGCGGAGGAGCGACAAUUGUUAAGUUACUACUACGAGGGAGGAGUAGGAGCAGGAGCAGGAGCAGUAGUAGUAGUAGUAGUAUCACUAGACCAGAUGCCUCGGGAAUUGCAGUUGCGAAGCACACGCAGUAACGGGAUUUCCGUGGAUUUUCCGUGCGCGAGGCUUGGAAAUACCAACGUUAAAAAGAUAAAGUAAGUGGGACUACCAAUGUGAUGUAAUGCCUUUAAGUUUACAUCCCAAUUUCGGGACCAAGUGGAAGCCAAUUGUUUCAAAAUUAAACCUCCCUUAAUUUCUUUUCUUCAUAUUUAUAUUUAUAUAUACAUGUACACCACCCCUCCUCAGCAAAAGGAAUAAUAAUUAACGAAAGGAAUAAGAAGAGGAGAAGCUAUACUGCCUAGACCUGGUCUAGCACCCAAGUGGGAACUGUUUAGUGACCCGUUCCCCAUCUCAUUUCAUUUUUAGAGAUCUACACAAGCUAGUCAAAUUAAUAUAGUCUUCUGGCACAAGAACUUCUUAACAAAAUUUCUCUUUCGUCUCUAAAUUGCUAUAAAAUUACUAUAAUAUUUCUGAUGAAUAGAGAGCAGAUUACUGUACCGUCGGCUAAUUGCAUGGUGGAUGCACGCAUGAGGUCCACGUAGAAGUGUGUGUGUGUGUGUUUGUAAGAGAGAGAACGAGAAAAAAAAAAAAUUUGUUUGAGAAAGAAAGAUAGUAUGCUAAUUAAUUGUUUCGUUUAUUUCUUUGAGAAAUAAACUUAAUUAGAAAUAUAAAUCAAUUAGUUAUAAUUUGAACUUGAGACCUCGGAGACCAACCAUCUGGCCCUUUGUCCCGUUGUGCUAGAAACGAUUUUAGGUAAUUAAGGAAAAGUAUUAAUGUAGGCAGGGCCAGGGGCCUGCCUGAGCAGCAGCUGCAGUUGCUUUUUGAAAUGGUAUAAGCAAUGUAUGUCGACUGUGCCCCGACCCCCUCCACCCCCGGGAAUGGGAUCGAUCGUCAGUCUCCCUCCUCCUCCUCGUUGGUGCCUCUAAUUAUUGCAUAGAAUAAGGGGAGGGAAGGGUUGUGGGGCGAUCGCCACCCCAAAAGGAUGACAAUCUUCCUCAACUUCUCAGGAUUAUUCCAAAAAGCUGAUGCACUCUCUCCUUAGUGGACUUGUACUACUCCGAACAUCCGAUCCAUGUUGCAGGGCCACACAUGAUUAUCUUUAUCUUUAUCUUAUUAGAAGAGGGCACAUCCUCUCUCUCUCUCUCUGCUCUCUCUCCCUCUCUCUCCUCCUCUCUCUCUAUCUGCUCUCUCUCCUCUCUCCUCUCUCUCUCUCUCUNUAUAUAUAUAUAUAUAUAUAUAUAUAUAUCUUUACGAGUAAUUAGCGCAUGUUAGCCAAAUGAAAAUUUUUCAUAUUUCUCAACAAAGUAAUUAUAUACUGCAUGCAUAAGUUCGGUUACUCUACUACCGAUAGCAUCAAGUGUUUGGCCGAAAAUCUAAUAACACCAAUGACUUGGUAUUAUUAAUAGUAUUCUAUAUAUCCUAGUUUUUGCAUGCAUUCACUUUUAUAUUUAUUUGUUCAAUUUAAGACUAUUUUAGGGUAUAGAACUGUUCAAUAAUGUUGUGGUACUGAUUAAUUAGCUAGAGUAAAUUAUUUAUAAUUUUUUCGUUCAUCCUCUGGCCAUACGUUUGAAAAAUACAAAAAAACCAGCUAUAUAUGUACGUACUAGUGCUGGUAAUAAUUAAUUUUGCCAAUUCCUGAGAUAAUAUUAUAGAUCGAGUUGAUUCAAAAUCUUGGAUGAUUACUCAACCUGCUCUAAUUAUAUGCAUGCUGGUGGGGUUUCACACCUUAUUUGGCGAAAUAAUAUAAUACGUACCUUGGGUGAGGAAGGAAAGUCAAAGUGUAUUUCUGGGCAUGCACUUCAGUUAAAUUAGGCUAGCUGACCUUUUGGCUUUAAUUAAAUGGUUAAUUUUGAAGUUAUUCGCUAGCUCAUUUGUCAUUUCUCUAUCAUGGACUUUGUUCACAGAUCCACUGACCAAGCACCAUUUUAAAAUCUAACCUAUUAAUUGCACUCUGUUAAUUAAAUAAUAAGAAUUUAAGGCCUCAUUUGGUACCAUGUAUAUCAGAUAUAUUAUUUACUUUGAUUUUUUUAAAAAAAUAAAUUUAGUUAAAAAUGUGAAGCAUGCAACUAAGUAUCGAAUUUAGGACCUUAUAUAUAUAUAUAUACCAAUUAAACACUAAUUGGAGAAAUGACUCUUUUUUUUUAUUGUUAUAGUUGGUUAGCUCAUAAUGCAUUUGACUAAAUUAUAACUAAUAAUUUAUUUUAUAAAAAUUUAAAAAUAAAAAAUAUAUAUUUAUGUUUAUAUUUUUUGCUGUCGAAUAAAAAAUUUAGAUGAAAGGAGAAUAAUUAAGCAAUAUGUUGUGUGCUCCAACACUUUUGAAUGCACAUAAAAUUUUAUUUAAAAAACCAAAAAGAGAAGAAAAAACAACCAUGACGCCAAAUGAGAGGCUUACAUGCAUCUGCAGCGCAAUUAAGUGGUACCAACCUGAUCUUGUGCAUUUGGCUAGGUAUAAAGCUAGCUAGCGAUCAUCGAUCAUCAAGUGACUAACUAACUAAUAAUUAAGCAUGCAACGACACCAAAAGAAAAAGAAACGAGAAAAGAAAACGACCAAGGAGAGAAGCUAGACAAUGAUCAUCACUAGAGGCCGUGCAUGCUUACAAAUUUGACAUAAAUUAAUUAUUAUUAUUAUUAAUAUUAUGAAAGAACCCGUGGGCUUUCUUAAUUAAUUGAUUUUUAAUUAGGUCGUCUUUCUCCUUUGAUACCAUUCUGCAGUAGCGACUGAUGGAAGCUGCCAGAAAAUGCCAAUAGAAUAGAACGUUAAUUAAAUUAAACCCCAUUUCCACCGUUGCAUAUAAUCUAAUCUAAUAUAAUAUAUCCUAUGUAUUUUAAUCAAUGGCAAGGUAAAUAAGACACGGGAUGAGACACGGCGCUAUUAGACACGAUGGCACUUAGAUUCAGAUUAAUUUGGACGAUAAAGUCGAAUAUAUAUAAUAUUUUUACACACACACACACACACACACAAAAACAUACGUAUAUACAUAGCAUAGGGAAAUAUAAUCUAAUAAUAAUAACUCAAAAUAAAUAAAUAAAAAAAUAGGCAGCAGCAAUAGCAGCUGAGGAUGUCGGCUCGAUCACCGAAAAGUAAGCGAGAAGAAGAUGUUUGAACAGUAGUGGCAGCUUUUGCGCAUGUCCCCGACCCCCGCCUUAAUUAAUUAAGAGCAAUUAAAAGAGAAAAUCCCCCACCUCACCUUAGUUAAUUAAUUAAUUAUAUAGCCUUAAUUUACUACUGACUGAACAGUGAACACCACUCCCUUACCCUUAUAUGCAUGCUGAGUAUAGAGUUCGGCGAAUACACACACUACACUCUCUGGCCUUAAUUUUCCCCUUAAUUCCCCUUUAAUUUGUUGUAUCAUCUCCUUCGAUCGUACGUGUAGUGUGAUAUAUAUAUAUAUAUGCAUUAAUAGAAAUAAAUGACUUGGGCUCUAUAUAUAUAUCUAUCUAUCUAUCUAUCUAUCUAUCUAUCUAUCUAUCUAUCUAUCUAUCUAUCUAUCUGCUGACGGUGCUGCUCCUCUUGUUUAAUUCCAUUUGAUUUCUGGGACUUGCUCUGCUCACUGCUGAGCAAGAAGCGCCGAGCGAGUUAGCUCGAUCGCCAGAAGCCACUCAUUUAAUAAAAGCAGGAGAUCAUAAGUACUAUAUAUAUAUAUAUUGAUAUUGAUUUAUAGGAUCAUCGAUGGAGGAUGAUCAAGCGGCGGGGAGGGCGGGGGUGAAGUGCGGGAGGUGGAAUCCGACGGCGGAGCAGGUGAAGGUGCUGACGGAGCUGUUCAGGGCGGGGCUGAGGACGCCCACCACCGACCAGAUUCAGCGCAUCUCCACCCACCUCAGCUCCUUCGGCAAGAUCGAGAGCAAGAACGUCUUCUACUGGUUCCAGAACCACAAGGCCCGAGAGCGCCACCACCACUACCACCGCCGCCACCCCCACCACCGCCAUCACCAUCACCAUCUCAAGAAGCGACGCCGCGGGGCGUCGCCCGCGCUCGACGACGACGACGACGACGACGACGACGACGACGACGACGACGAGACCACAACACUCCUCCUCCUGAUGCCUCCCGAGACCAAGAGGGAUCAGCCCAGCAGGACAAACUACAAUCAUCGAUUAUUCAUCCCCAGUAAGAGUAUUAAUUAUUAGUUACUUCUAACCAGCUUAUAUAUACUUUGUUAUAUAAUAAUUAGUUUAUUACGUACUUAAUUUUUUUUUUUCUUUUCCUUUCCUAGAGACAAAAAGGUAUUUGCGAUAGAGCUAUCUAUCUCUAUAUGCAUUAGUUUCCGAAAGCAAUAAUAAAUUAAUGUAUGUAUCUCUCUUUUGUAUUUAGCAAAUUAAUUAGCAUGCAUGAGACGGAUGUAUAUUCCAACAGCUUGCUCUUUUGUUAGAACAUAUGUAAUUAAUAGAUAUUGAGUGCACCUCCGCCAAUCAUUUGGUAAGAGGACCAGGAAACAUGUACACAAGUAUUGAUAGCCUACGCAUGAUAGUCUUUGCGUUUCUUUUCUUCAACAGGACCAGCAUGUAUGUUUAAGAAACAACUCAAGCAAGCAAGGGCGCGCGCGCGCGCACGCGCGCACACACACACACACACAUAUAUAUAUAUAAGCCGAAAGAGUGGUCUACAAUAUUAUUUUUAUGCAAAUUAAUUAAUUAUUAGUAGCUAUAUAGUUGUUGUUGUGGUGAUCAUAUAUAGGGAGUGGUUUUGGUUGUAGGCUACGCGAAUGCGGAUCAGGAAGCGAUAAGCUGGGAGCAACCGAAGAGAGAGAUCGAGACGCUGGAGUUGUUCCCCUUGAAGUCCUACGACCUGCAGGAAGCUCACGAGAAGCUGAGGUACGUGAGGAGCGGCGCCGACUGCACCGACAUCUCUUUCUUCGACACGGAGAGCGACCCGCCAUUGGAGCUGCGUUUAAGCAGCUUUCUAUAGACUACGUACGGCACCCUAUCUAGCUGCUACCCACGGUACUGCUUGCAUUAUUCGAUCGUGUGUAAUCUUUAUACAGUCAUAUCUAUUUAUCUAUCUAUCUAUCUAUCUGGUUAGCUAGUAAGAGAUUAAUUAACUGUGUUAAUUAUUCUUGCACACGUACGUCCCAGCCUUAAUAUCUCCUGAUCAAACGGGGAAAAAGAAAAGAAAAGAAAAAACAAGAUAAUGGGAUGGGCAUUUAAUUUAGUCAGUUAAAUUAUGGAUCUCCAGCCACGUACGUACUAUACAUCGAUCAGUCUCCUUGAAUUAAUUAAUUAAUUAAGUAAUGUAGUAAAAUGUCUUUCUUUAGCAUUUUUAUUUCAUGUGCGUUGGGUACGAGUCGAGAACUGUAGACACACAUGCGUUCAUAUAUAUGUCAUGAAUGAGAUCGUAACGUGGAGGACAAGGAUUUCAAAAUUCGCGACUGCAGAGAGCGCACCCACUCCGCGGGGCUUUUGUUCGGAUUCCCAUUUGAAUCCCCUUAUUUUACUUCUGAGUUCUGACCCACCUCCCCCCGCCUCUUUGUCAACGGCUUUCUCUCCCAGCGAGAAAAACAUUUCAACCACCCAGCAGCUCCCUCCACACCACCAUUAUUAUUUUACUUUUACUUUUACUUUUACUUCUAGCAGGGUUUAGAAUGCUAAAAUAUAUAUAUAUAGAAAAGACCAAAUUCAUCCAUUCAAUAUUAAAUAUGUAACGAUCCAAUAAUUUUAGUUUAUUUAAAAUCUACACGCUAAUAAUAAUAAUUAAAUUUAAAUAAUUUGGGCCGAUAGCUUAGACUUAACUCGUACCCGAGGGGUGACAAAAUAUGCACACAGCAUCAGUCAAACUGAUUACCUUACAUUAUUUUAUAUAUAUACACACGGGGCCACGUGACAGUCGCGGCAUCUUUCUGUCAUUGUUGACCCAACCGCGCGCUCUGUCUUGUUGGACGGACUAAUCAAGCAAGAUCAAAAGAAGAACAAGUACUCUCAAGUCGUCACAUCGAACUGGCUACUGCGUACAUUUUUUUUUUCCUUUUCAAAUUAAGCUGCAGUUCCAGCAAGCUCCCGCCCGCAUUCCAAACAUUUGAAAACAGGAGCACUCGGAUCCUCAAUCUGUACGUCUAAUUUGGUGCGCCCUCAUGUGUUAAAAUAUAAAAUUCGAUGAAAGGCUAACGAAGGGCGGUACGCUAGACGCAGAGAAUAGUUUACUAGCUAGGGAGGUAAUAAUAAAUAAAAAUUCACUUACGUUUCUUGCAUUCCGGUAUACUAGAUUAGAUCUCCGUCAAAUGAAAUCCUACUGCAGAGACAAGCUGUAAAGUUAACAAUCGUUUGCAGAGGCUCAACAAUCAUUUGCUCAAUUUGAAACUCUUUGCCAGUUCUUCUUCACCCCAAAUAAAUCUUCUUCUUUUUUAAAAAAGAAAAAAAGAAGAAAAGGGUUUACUAUUGAUGAUCAAAAAGGGGCGUUGAAUGGGGCAAGAAGUACAUCUACAUCUUAAUGGGCUGGCUAAUCAGACUCUGCGGCUUAGAUAUAAUAGAUUGCUAGCCCGCAUGCAUUUGCAGGUGAAUGGGAGCCCAACUUUGUUGGAGGCCCAAAUUGGACGUGCGAAGGAAGAGUAAUCCCAAUUCCCAAGCCACGACCCAGGUCGGACAAACUCGCCUCGAAGAGGUCUUGAAAAAGCCCACUAAUCCCGAGAUGAUUCAGCGGCUGAAGCAGGCUGGCCCAUUUGUGCGGCCCACGUAAGACUUGUGGGCUACAAACAUUUGUUAGCCCCGGACCAACUUGCCCUUUACACUACUUUGGGCCAUAGCAGUAAUAACAUGUUAUAGCGCGAAUUUGACCCGUGUUUAGUGUUUACCCCUCUCCAAUUCUCUUGCGAAAAAUGACUCCGGCCAACUCUUCUUCUCAAUUUUUUCUCUUUUCCUUUUCUUAAUGUAAGGCUUAGAGGUUUCUUUUUUGAGUCCCUAUCGUACCUUUUCCUGCUUAAAUUAGACAUAUGUCCAUCAGUUGCGGCUAUUGAACUUCUUUUUUUUUUUCCCCCAAGGUCGUUUUUUUUUCUGUCGAGCUAAGGUCGUGCAUGUUCACUUAAAUCCAAAGUGAGGUGGUCUUCAGGAAGAAAAGAAGAUUCCAAAAGAAUGCUCCGCAAGCACGAGAGGUCUAGCACCUAAUAGAAAAAGGAGAACACAUCAACAGGAACGGAACUUCCCUAUUGCUUUCAUUCACGCACAAGCGCACCCAACACACACAGAAGACAUAAAAAGAGGAAAAGAAAAAAAUAGAAGACGCCAAAGCAGAAGAAGACGAACGAGGAGGAGGAGAGGAUUUCAUCAAUUAUACAAAAAGAGCAGUAUAAAAGGAUAGGUGCAUCGAUCGAUCUAUCUAUACGCCACUUGCGCUAAUCAUACUUUCUAGAAGAGGAGUUGAUGAACUUGAUGCAUUCCUCAAUAGCUUCGCUUUGGUGAGCGUCCACAGGAGGCACAAACUUGUGGAGACUGGUGCUAGAAGAAGGACCAUAAAAUGGGCCUCUUGCAGAGACCAUUUUAAGGGCCCUCGCCAUGUUCGCUCUUACGCGUCUGAAGAAUUUCACCGCUGAGCAACGGGCCGUUCUUAGCAGACGACAACCGAAGCCCCUGGGGACCUUAUUUGCGUCUCCGCCGGCUCGUUUGCUAUUUGUCUUAAGUAAUGUGAGAGAAACCGUAGGCUUCUCUUCGGCAUCGGGGCUCAGGCUUACACGCCCACCGCCCUUUCUCAUGGUAUUUCAGAUCAAAGACCUAAGAGGCUUGAGACUACGUCUGCCUACAGUAUUCUAGGGGCACAAAGGAACUCGCACACACACACUCACACUCACAUAUAUAAAUGUGAAGAGGAUAGAGUAUGUGCAACAACAGCAAAUGAGAGUGAAGAAUAUACCAAAGGUAAAGGGAAAAAUAGCAAAAAAAGAUAAAGUAAGAGAGAGAAAAGGUGGCCUCACUGGUCCCUUUAGGAAUGAAUGAAAGCGAGGGGCAAGUUGCUAGUGUGCUAGUACAUGACUCCCGAGUACUAAGUCAAUGAGAAUUCCUCUUCUCCCAUUUGAGUGAGAGCCGGGAUCACAAUUAUUAUUGAUAUAAUGAGUUGGCUUUACCAGGAAUGAAUGAAAAGAAGAGCAGAGAGCAGUUUUACUUGUUGGUGCGUUGCGGUGGGUGGCCACCGGCGUAAUCGUGGCAUGAAAGUAAGUGACGACGAAAGCCAAGAAAUCUUUGAAAGGAUUCAAAGAGAAUGAAUGAGAAGGACAUGGGAGUAGAAAAGAGAACAAGAAGGGAGACAAACUUGGAAAACCAUGCAUAUCCGGCGUUUCUUUUGAGGCAGUGCUCGUGCCGGGUAGUCCUCCUCACUCAAAGAUGCCAGUAAGUGGUGGGGGCUGGGUGGAGUCCGCUGUUGCAGAAGAUGCGAACGGGACUGGCUGGCAGGCAAGACGAAUAUAAGGGUUGGUGGAUGUCGGGCCUGCGCCAGAGACAACAGCUGUAGAUCCUCGGAUUAUUGCAGGCAGCACUUCUCAGGUCGCUCUAGCUCAAGUCAGCCGGGGUGUGAGAUCUUCGACGCCCAGGGCGAGUCACAUUGAAUGGUUUGAAUUGGGUCGAACUCUAACCAACUCAACCCAAGUUGUGCUACCAGGCUGGUGAUGAUGUUUCCAAGAGAGUGUGAAAUUCAAACGGGGCUCCCAAAUUAGACAGCAAAAAGAAGCACAGAGAGCCAGAUAAACAGUUAGACGCAUGCGAUGGCGUCCCUAAGGAUGCUUUUCUGUGCCUCGCGGCCUUCCACAUGUGGAAGACAUCCCAUUGGAAGCGGUUUCCCAUAAAUACAAAAGCUGUAAUACUCUGUUUCAAAGUACAUGCCCCGCAUGUUUAAAUCAACUUCAUAACUAGGUCACUUUAAGGAACUAAUUAAUAGAAGCAUCUUAAUGAAAUUAUAUAUCACAAUUUACCUGAUAAAAUAAUGACCGGCUGUCCGUGUCCGUUCGUGUGUGACAGACAGUUGCAAUAAAAGCGCCGCUGGGUUUCCCACUCUCUACAAGAAAUUUGUAUUCCUAAAAUCCUCAUAGCAGUAAAACAAAACAAAUUGUCUUAAUUUGUUCCUAAGAUGUCACCGAAAAUGUCUUUCUCCCAAACUCGGGGGCCCAAAGAUGAUGGAAAUCAUUCGUUCAUGAAUUUAUGGAGUAAUACGCGGCUCCAGAAAUGCCAAAUUGGCAGAGAAGUCAGGCCUAGUACACACAGAACUAUGACCGCCUAUUUCUCCCCAACUUGUACAUAUGUAUGUAUAUCAGUUAAUUCCGCCAAAUGUCGAACGAGUGGCUCGCUGAAAUGUUCUUGUAUUAACAAAAAUGAAAAGAAUCCCCUCAAAAACAAAUUAAAGGAACGGUAGCAUAGUUAACAAUCGAUCCGAAUGAGCAAAUAUGGGCGAUCAAUUAAAGGAAUUUGAGAGGCCGUCAAGGUUUAGUCACAUGAAAAAAUAUGGAGUAAAUGAUAACAGAGAUAUGUCAAAAUUAAGUAAUCCAUAAAACAGCAAUCAAACCGCCGAUUAUUUUUGCAAUAAAUAGGAGACUUAAAAGCUAAAAGGACACUUGUCAACAGCCUUUUUGAUUUUUCAGAUCGUAGUGAUUAUGUACCGAUUUAAUACCAUCAUAGCAUUGAUUGUCCGAAAUCUGAUAAAGCUGUCAUGGCCUUAAAACGUUAAAACUAUUAUUGAUCGGUGUUUACCUGUAUGAUUGAUAAAAGAACGAGUCCAAAGUCCAAACUGGUCUUCCAUAAUUAUAAUGUAGCCAAGCAAGUUACUAAAAUGUGCAGUAUUUGUUCUUUCUUCCUUGCUAGUAUUCUGACAAUGGAACUUUAAUUCUGAAAAGCUUUGGGAUUGCCUGUACCAAACUACAAUCUGAUUGUAACCAUAAGCUUUGAGAUUACCUGUACCAAAUUACAAUCUAACAAUAGCCAUCGUCUCAAAAAAGUUAUCAAAAGUGACAGAGCACUCACUUCUCGAGAGAGCAGUUACUUCUAAGACUUCUAGCUCCUCCAUUUUGUUGCUUUUAUGUUUUAUUACAGGUGAACGACCAACAUCCAAUAAACCUUCAAACCAGUGAUUUCAGCAGAAUACUCAAUUCAGUUCUCCUUAUAAAAUAAUUUCCCUUAACUCAAAUGUAUUUCAAUAACCACAGCAAAAGAACAUAUUUUCAAGUAGGAAUGUUGGAUUAGCAUGACUAAUUGAAUCCAAGAAUUAUACUCAAAAGCCAACAUAUCUUGCGUUCAGAAUUUAAAACAUAAUUGUAGCUACUAGCCUUUCCAACUUCAAUUUUCACAACGUUGAACACCACCAUGGUGCUGCCAAUAAACCAUUACGAUUUCUGCAUCCAUCUCUGACGAACAGCCACCAUCAUGGAUAAUUUAAUUCCACCCUGUUAGAAAUAGAACCUGACUUUAUAAUUAAUCGGCAUCAUUGCUCCAUAACAUUGGCGUCAUUGCUCCAUACCAACUGCUACUAAAAGUUAAUAGAGAGUCCUAUGAUAACAAGGGGAACCAAGUCUGCUAUCAUUCAAGAUAAAUCUCGUGAUGUCUGAAUAAGAGUUUCAAGAUGAUCUGGACCUAACAAUCAUAACCUCGUAAAACGAUAGGGAAGGACAACAAAAGGACAGAAAAAAAAGGUAAGAGGGAAAAAAAAGUGGCGUCUAUUCCCUACUCAAGUAGAUAAAACUGAGUACAUAUCAAUGGAGACUUCAAUCCUGCAUGUCAAGAAUUGUAUCCAAUCGUGCGUCUACAAAAUCAACUAUGCUACGUAAAACCAAUCAGCACACUUUAUCACUUUAAUCCUAAAGCCAGUUUCCAUGCUUUAUCUGGUAGUUGAUUUUGUUCUUUUUACGAGUUUUAGUUCAGAAUAUUCUCCUAAUAAGCUAACUUUAGGUAAUACAGUCAACUUCUCACGCCCAAAUAGGGAAUUCAGCCAUCUCAAGCAAGAGUCAGUACCUCAAAACAAUCUGUCUCCUAAGUAUUAACAAAAUGAUCUGCUGUGUCCUUACAACAUCAGAAGGUCAGAGAGUUCAAGAUUUCCAGCUAUUCUCGACAUUGCAAUCUGUAUACCAUUGGAUUCUCUUUUCACAACAAGUACAACCAGUUACAUCAAAACGAACACACGAAGACCUCCCAUAUAAAGGAACCAAACACAAAGGAUAUACUUUAAACCACAAACACAGCAGAUAAAGACACCGACCUCAUAACACCAUGGUAUCUCAUGCAACACUCGUGCGCAUGUGUGUAAAUUUAUCACCAAUUGUUAUCCGACAAAACUUAACCAAAGGCACUUAUGUAGCAUUGCCAUUUAUUGCUUUAUUAGUCGUUCCUUAUUGAUAAAUUUGCAGAACAAGCAAACAUGAACAAUAGGAUCUGAAGAACUAGUUUGGACUCCCAUUCCGUAACAAGUCUAAAAGCUUAAGUAUCAAAUAAAAACAUAAGAACUUUGCCUCUCAAUCACGAGUAUCAAACACAAAUUAAGCAGAGACCAACUGAUAUACACAAACAAGCAAGCGCAACAUAUAAAAUGCUUAGUCUAGAUAAACUCACGCUAACUUGCGCUUAUCCGAAGCACUUUGCCCGCUAGUAGUCGGCACGGUAGUCGCUGUAGUCAUCCCUGGGAGCGAAGUCGCUCUCCACCCUCUCGGCAAUCUUCUCCUCCUCGUACUUGAGCCCUUCGUCUAGCGCGAGGCCUCCCAGCGCCCCUGCCACCGCACCGACGGCCAGGCCCGUCCCCAACCCCGAUCUCCCUCCCUUGGCCCUCUGCUCAUAAGAAGAAGGCCGCUGCGCGUAAUCCGCGGGCGCCGACGGGGCCCCGUAGGGGGACGGCCGGUCGUAGUACGGCCUCAUCGGGGCGACCGGCAGGGAAGCAGGGGGUGCCGAGUAGAAGGGGGCGGAGGACGAGUAGUAUCCGGAGUAGGGAUCGGAGGAGUGCCGCUGCUGCCGUAGGGGUACGGCGACGACUGGGGCGGGGGAAUAGAGUGGGGGUAGGUCGGGAGAGGCGGAGGGGGAGGAGAGUAGGCGCGGUAGUCGCGGGCGGGGGCGGGGGCGGGGGCGGGGGCGGGGGAGUAGUAGUAGGCGGAGGGAGGGGCGAAUUGGUAGUUGGGGUCGGGACGCUCCCGGACGGCGAGACGGAUGCGGACCUUGCCCUGGGGGCGGCCGGAGGGGCGGCGGAGCUCUAGGGUUUUGACGGGGGAGGGGGAGGGGGCGGGGGAGGAAUCGAGGGGGAGGAGGAGUCCUGAGCGAGCAGGCGCGGUGCGCGAGGGGGUUUGGGCCUCGGAUGGGCUUGGAGUGGAGUGGGUCGAAGGGUGAGACGAGGGAGGGGUCUGAGGGGGUCGAAGGCGGAGGGUGAGGAGGAGGCGGAGGCGCUGCCGCCAUUCCAGACGGGCCGCGGUUGUGGAUCCGGCGUCGUCGGGCUUGGUGGCGCCGCGGCGGUCGGAGUCCAGGUACGCCACGGCGUAGGGCUUGAGCUCGCCCUGCCUCCAGUUCACGUUCUUCAGCUGCUUCGCCGACACCACCGUCACCUCCAGAUCCAGUAGAGCCCUCCCCGACGACGACGACGACGACGACGACGACGCAGCAGGAGGAGGGUGAUGAUGAUGAUGCGGAGAGGCCAUUGAGAUUGGCCGAACAACAACACUUUGGGAGCUGAUUCUCUCUCUCUCUCUCUCUCUCUCUCUCUCUCUCUCUGUAUGGGAAAAACCCAAAAAACCAAAAAUAAAUAAAAAUAAACAAUAAUCUGGGGCUGGGAGUCGAGGGAGAAGGCAAAUUAGAGACGGUCGGUAUUUCGGAUUUUUAUAUUGGGAAUCACGGACUUGUCGUUGGGCUUUGGGACCGAUAGGUUACCGGGUUUGGAUUUCGGAUGCUGAUUCAAUAGAGACCGAUACAGUAUCUCCGUGGGCUGCGGUGGCCCACUAGACUGGGCUUUACAGUUGAUCCCUCCUCCAGGAGAGGAAAUGGGUCCAAGAAGGAAAGCGGGGUGGACUAUUAAUUAAUUUCGAAAUUGGAUGUUUACCAAAUCUUGGAAAUUAAUAAAUAGAUAAUUAGGUGAUGUAUAACAUCAUGUGCUGUACCAUUUUCACUAUUUGGUGACUGAAGGAGCCAAUUCUUCUUAUCGUCUGCUUGGUCUAAUUACAGAGUUUUCCAAAAAGGGACAUUUGUUCUUUUGAGUACAGGUUGUAAACAACCGUUCUCCUUUUGUUCUGCUCUUGUAUAUUGCAGCUUUUUGUUCUGCUCUUGUAUAUUGCAGCAGUGCAUCCCUGCCGACGGUCAAAAGUCGGUAAUCGUCCAUUUUGCUGCAGUGCGCGGUAAUUGGUAACUUUCACUCGAGUUGACUAACCAACACUGAAAUCCCCAUAUAGAGUACACAAGUUAGUAAUGAGCAAAUCUAGCAACAUAUAGCUUGCUAUGUUUGAUAUCGCAAAUAAAUCACCAAAUUAGAAAAACAAUAACAAUCUCUCAAAUCCGUAUUUCGACACUAUCAAAAUUGAAGAAGGCGUAAAACAAUUACAAUAAUCCUCUUUUACAUCCCAUUAUUCCAGUCACCAAUAAUCUCGGCAGGAACAUGUCCCAUCUCUGAAAUGAUGGAACCUACUCACAUCUCUAACCACAAUCUCUCGCUUCUCAAUCUUCGACAUCAACUUUAUAGCGACGUGGCAAUCGUCGCACACGCGCAAGUUCUUCAUCACCAGGAUUGUAGCUCCCGACGGCGUGCUCAAAAGAGCAAACGCAAUGGCCAGCUUCUCACUAUGGUGAACCAAACUAAACUCUUUCUCCUCCUCUUCCAUGUCAUGUAGGACCAUACUAGUAUCCGGCACAUACCCCCACUGCCUCAUCUUUCUAAUCAUUUCUUUUAAGCACUCCUCGAUCUCUCUCCGCAAUGGGUGGGACCUAUCCCCUGUUGAGAACAGGUGCACUUGGCCCUUGAGCUCCACCCAACUGAUCCCUGGCUCCUUCCUCACUCUCCUCUCCCGCAUAGCUGUUCUAACCUCGCUCACAUCGCUCCAUCUUUGAUUAUUAGCACGAAUAUUCGACAAAAGAACGUACGGAGCAGAAUCACUCGGGUCCAAAGUUAUAACAAUCUUCGCCACCCUCUCCGCCAUCUCUGUAUCCCUGUGGGUCUUGCAAGCCGAGAGUAGCGUCUUCCAAAUUACCGCAUCGGCACUAACAGGCAUCGACUUGAUGAGAGCUUCCGCUUCUUGGAGAAGCCCCGAUCGCCCGAGCAGAUCCACCAUGCAAGUGUAAUGCCUAACAUUAGGCAUCAAUUUGUACGUCUCGGUCAUGAGCUUGAAGAACUCCAUGCCUUGUUCCUUCAAGCCGCUGUGGCUGCAAGCAUAGAGCAAGCUCAAGAAUGUGAUCUCAGUUGGUUCAAUUCCUUCCUUCAUCAUCUCCUUAAAUAGCUGAACCGCCGCGUGCCCAUGCCCGUGGAACCCAUAAGCUGCAAUCAUCGCGCUCCACAGCACUAAAUCCGAACUGCAUGAUUCGGAAAAUACCUUCAAGGAGUAAUCUAGGCACCCGCAUUUCGAAUACAUGCUCACGAGCGAACACCUGAUAGGCAAGGACGAGUAGACCCCUGCUUUAAGGGCCUGCGCGUGGGCCUGCCGGCCGGGACCGAGUGCCGCCAAAUCCGAGCAGGCGCUUACGACGCUGACAAAGGUGACCUCAUCCGGAGCCAAUCUGGCGGCCUUCAUUAGGCAAAAGUAUUCGACGGCUCCCUCUGAAUCCCCAUUCUGCGCUCUUCCGGCAAUUAUGGUGUUACAGGACACCACGUUAAGAAAAGGAAGCGCUCUUAACACGCUCUCGCCGUCCCUGAGCGAGCCGCACCUCAUGUACAUGUGCGCCAAGGAGCUCCCCACACACAUAUCGAAUUCCAACCCGGACUGCGCCACGUAGGCGUGGAUCUGCUGACCCGACACGACAUCUUUCAACCCGGCGCAGCAUCUCAAGGCGCUGCCGAGGCCGAACUCGUCGGGGCGGAAUCCCUCUCGUCUCAUGCCGAGAAAGUAGCCCAGCCCUUCUUGGUCGAAUCCGAAAUGGGCAUGCCCCGCGACCACGGCGUUCCACGAGGCGACGUUCCUCUGCGGCAUUCGGUCGAACAGCUCGCGCGCGGAGCCCAGGUCCCCGUUCUUGACGAGCCCGCCGAUGAGGAUGUUGUAGGACAUGACGUUCCUCCUCGGCAUUUUAUCGAACAGCGCCCGGGCGGAGCGCAGGUCGCGGUGCUCGGCGUAGGCGUGGAGGAGGUGGUUGGCGGCGAAGCGGUCGGCGGCCGCGCCGGAGGCGAGGAUGAAGGCGUUGGGGUCCGACCACUGCUGGGAGAGGAGCACGCCGAGCGCUUCUCUGAGGGAGCCAUUGGAGCAGAGGCGGAGGAACUCUUGCUUAUGAGAGGAGGGUGGGUGCCAUGGGCGCGGGCUAAUAUGCGGCUUGGGACGGAGGGGGAGCUUGCGGAGGGAUCUGGCCAUGUGCGGCCCAAGCCCAAAUCAACCUGGAUGUUACUAGAAGAUUCUCCAUGGAGGCCUACAUCUACAGCCUACAGGUUGUUGGGGCGGGCGCGAGGCAGAGGACGCAGAGGCGAAGGAGCUGCGUCACUCUUGCGUCACACACACACACACACAGAGUGGGAGAGUGAGGCCUCAUUCGGGCUUCGUAUUAGCAUGUUGGGCACUUUUGGACCGUUUGGGCCUUCUUGUUUGGACUAGGCCGCACCUGCUCAGCUCGUUGCAAAAACACGUGCGUGCCGAUAACACUACUAUUGGGGGGGGAAAAGCAUACACAGGUAUGUUACUUUUUACAGUAAAUUAGCAGGUAUUUGGCCUGUUUAAAACUUUUUAAAAUAAAUAAAAAAUUAUAAGUUCGUUGAAUUUUUACUAAUAAGAUGGAUGAAUGGCUGAUAAGAUUAGCGUCGUCACAAGAAGUACUAAAACUUUUAAUCUUCUUCCAAACUCCUACAGUCUUUUGUCUUGCCGGUCGGAAUUUAUCCAAUAAAUUUUACUUUAAAUAACAGUUUUGUGGACAAAAAAAGAAAAAAAAAACACAGCUGUUAUCUAUAAAAUCUCUUGAUAACUUGCUCCAACACAAGCAAAGAAACCUUAUAGGCUCUCAAUUAGAAUUUCUAUUUUCUGACCCUAGGAAAUUAUCUAAUUCUUAUAUAUAUUUUUUAUUUAAUUUGGUUCUUGAGAAAGAGACAAAUAAAUUAGAGCUAUAUUCUGGCACUUGCUGUGGGCUGAUUUGAUAAACAUCGAUGUCAUUUUUUUAUUUUAGUUGGCCGCUUCUGACAGCUAUUCCGGGCUGAUUUGAGAUUUUCUUUUUUUUUUUUCUGGCUGUCUCGAGUUGACUUUUACAAAGUACGUACAUCUGCAUAAUAACUCGAACUAGUUUUGUACAUUAACUAAAGUAUGACAUGCAACUUCCAACUCCAAUUCCUUUUAGUUUAUUAGAUAAUACUACUUAUAUAAUUUGAGAUGAAGGCUAUGCAAAUAUUCUUUACUAGGUAGAUUCCGUGCACCACUAAUAGCUCACCUGAUAGGGUUAAUAGAACAACUUUUUCUUAAAAAAAAAAUUAAGAAAAAAGAGUGUCUCAUCAUGAACUCGUUCUUCAAAUUUUGGAACUGAUCUCUUUUGUAAGGGUGUCAGCACAAUCAACUAAUUUCUUGUUGCACAAGUUGAUUGCAAAUAAACCAUUUUGUAACUCUCUCGUACCUAAUUGCAUUCCUCACGUCUUAAUCAACCAGCGCAAUUAGAUAGCCAUAAUCGUACGGUAAAUAAAAAUGGUGCAAUCAAUAGCACUAAUAUAUAUAUAUAUAUAUAUAUAAAUAUAAUUGAGCUCCUAUACUUUUAAAAGUACAAAGUUAUUGGUGCUUCUAAGUUUUUAGCCCUUGGAUUAAGAAAUGUGCGGUUAAGAUGAUGUGAGCCCCCUAGGGUUGAGUGGGUGGCUGGUUGAAUAGUAUAAUCUAACGGGUGAAAAUGAUCAAAGGCGUAUAUCUAACGGUAAAAAAUUUACAAGCACCAAACACUUGGUACUUUUACAAGCACCAUAGCCGGACUCAUAUAUAUAUAUAUACUUCCGAUUUGAAAUUUGAGUCCUUUAUUAUUGUUUUUUAUGAGAUUUUUAUUUUUAGCCGUUCAUUUUGAAGCUACUCGUUUACUAGGCAAACGAAAUCAAAAAAUUAUGAAAUUUGAUUUCUAGGUAAUUCCAACAGCGUAGAUCAUGUCUAACGGAACCGAUCGCCAAAUCGAAUGUCCCAUUAUUAAAAACAACUUACAAGUACGGAGGCUCCCGUACUUUCAAAAGUAUAGGAGUCUAGCUCUCUCUCUCUCUCUCUCUCUCUCUCUCUCUCUCUCUCUCUCUAUAUAUAUAUAUAUAUAUAUAUAUAUGGCAACUUGUAUCAAAAUGGCUAGCUAGUUGCAAUUUUGCAAUAGAAAAAUGCACUAAAAUUUUUUAUAGAUUCCAACUUGUAAGUUGCAAAUAGUAAACCUAUUGAAUAAUAACCAACAAUCACAAACUAUCAUGUUGUAUUCUGAUUUAUAAUAAUGAUAACUCUACGGUUAAUUAUGACGAUUUUGUACGUCUGAAUCACGAAACUGAUGACGUUUUGUAAACUUUAUUUUCGUAAGGAACCACACGUAUAAUGAUUUACAAAAUAAUAAUGAAAAUCUUAAAAAAUAAGAUAAUUAGACGGAAUUAAUUAUAUUCGUACAUUUAAUGGAACAGCUGACCUCCGUUUUAUUCGGCCAUUAGGACUGUUAGGUGCGUGCACGGUUGGAUCGGCUCAAUUUUUUCCAAAGACAAAAGUCAAAAACAACAUCAAAUAUCAAUUUAGCAAACUAAAUAUAUAUAUAUAGAGAGAGAAAGGGUUUAACAAAAUAAUAUAUGUAUCCAAGUCUCUUUUUCUGCUUAUACAUAUGGAGGAUGAUAAAGCUUGACCUGCUCUCGAGAAUGUACGCCAACUACCCAUCCGUAAAUAAUAAUUAGAAUUAAUAGGAGUGAGGUGAAUUUGAUUUAAUUAGCGUUAUCCAUUCUCUUCGCCAGCUAGUGAUUUUUUUUUUUUUUUUUUAGAGAAAAGUAGUAUGGUAACCGUUUUGUUUAUUUCUUUUUAGAAAUAAACUUAGGUAAAAAUAUGAAUCAAUUAGAAUUUGAAUUUAAAACUUCGAGUAUCAAUCACCAAGUCCUUUACCGCUUGCGCUAGGAGCAGUCACCAGCGAGUGAAUUGCACAACCAUAUAUCAUGUUGUAUCAUAUACUAUUUGUUAAUGUAUGGUACAUGAAUUUUAGGUGGACUUGCCCUUCAAAUAAAUAAUUAUGCGGUUGACAAAUUUGUGGCAGACGUACUAUGUGUGACGUUUUGAGUACGUUGUCAUAUUUUUUCUAUUUCUCUCAUUUAUUUGUUUUUUUGGUUUGAAUGGAUUAAUAGAGCGUUUUCCUAUUUUGAUAUAUAGUUGUAAUGUCAACAGAAUGAGCAAUUGGUUGGGGUGAGGUCCCCUUAUUUUAGUGCUAAUUAAGCCAAAUAGUGAGUACUCAGAAUUUUAUUCGAGAAUUGCAUAUAUGAUGAUGUUGACUAUGGUUUUUCCAUUGAGUAAUGCUUUUUUUUUUUUUUUUUUAAAGAGAUAGGUAGCAUCCUACCCGCUUCAUAUAUUUCAUUGAGAAAUAAACUUAGUUGGAAAUGUGAAUCAACGAGAAUUCGAACUUGGGGUCUCAGGUAUCAACUACCAAAUUUUUUGCCACUUGCUCUAGGGACCGCCAAUUUUAUUGAGUAAUGCUAGUGCGAUAUACAAACACCUUUCUAUUGUAAAACCACAAAUCUACCAUCUAAAAAUCCAAAUUUCUUUAGUAGCUUUAUCACCCUUAUUUUAUUUAUUUACGAAAACCUAAAAAUAAAGUUGUAAAUUCUUAGGAGUAGGGCUGCGAUUAUUGAAUUAUCAGGGCAAUAACUCUACAAUCCUUUUUGGGUGAUAGACUUUGUAUUUUUUUUCUUUUAUCCAUACAUUUUUUUUGUCUUCUUCAUCAAAAGACUUAUUAUGUUAUACUGAGCAUAAAGUUUGCAUCCUCUCCAUCAAAUGACUUAUUAUUUUACUUUGUUUUAUUAUAUUUUUAUUUUUUUAUUACUAAAAAUUUGAAAUACUUGCCUAAAUAUUUAGGUGGAUUGGAUAUAAAAUUAAUUUUUUUUUUUUUUUUUGUGUGUAUGUCGGCAUUCCUUUGUCCAUAUUAUUAAGGCAGUUUCUGGUCAUUGACUUCAUCUCCAGUUUUUCUUCUUUUCUUUUUUUUUCUUUUUUUUUUUUUCGUCUUUGGCUUUCAAUAAUGCCCGUGGGCCCCACAAUCUUACGUAUUUUAGAAAGCCAAUGGAUGGACACCUCUGUUAACAUUUUAAUAUAAGAAGAAAAAGUACAAAAGAAAGGGGGAAAGGUGAAAAUUGAAACCAUCAUAUAUACGCAUGCAAUUCAAACUGUAUAUUAAAUUACUAUUCAUCUUAAGCAGUUUAUUAUUAGCGUCGAUAUCCCUGCUAUUUCCACUAACCCUAUAAGUUAGGAUUAAUUGUUCUAUGGAUCCCAACCUUUACUCAAUUUUUUAAUUUUACUCACCAUUCUUUUAUUUUUUACAAUCAGAUUCUUAAUUUCUAAAAUUAAUCACACUCGUGGUCUCCAACAUGUACCCAUUUUUUCUAAAUUUGGUCCCCAACAUCUUAUUUCAUUUGCCAAGGCAUCAAGUCCAAUCUCGCUGCCUUCAAUAUUAUUCUGCAUGGUUAUGACCAUUUCAAUCUUGUAUAUGAUACUUACGGUUCUAUUUGAAGUAUACAAAUUUCUUAUUAAAGUCUAGUUAGAACUUACAAACAAAUCUCUUUUAGAAACUUAAAAAAAAAAAGAUAUCGAGAUUGACUGAGAGUUAGCGGAUAAUGACUGUGAUCUAUAUAAAUAGGUAAGGCUUUAUUGGAGUUGAAGUGACUAGAAUUUAUGAGAAUCUGGAUGGUUAGGAUCUAAUUGAAACGAAAUAUAGAAGUUAGAAAAGAGUAAAGAUUACAGUGGACCAAAGUAAAAAAACGAGACAAAUGUUAGGAACCAACGUUGCAAUUAAUCCCUCUAAAAUAUUAAGAAUGUAAAUCUCACACUAAAACUUGCACAGCCCAAAAAUUCUCACACAUCGUCCAAUUCUUAAUUAUUAUAGCUAUAAUUCCAUGGAUAUGAAUGAAAAAUAAAUAUUCCUUGAGUAAAUGAUAUUUUUAUACAUUAUUUUUGGCUAAACAAUGUAUAGUUCAACCAUAUCUCCUAGUAGGAGUAGCAAAUCAUAGCUAGAAGUAACAAUUGUCAAACUAAAUACUGUCUGGUAAAGAGCUUUUAGUUGCGUUUUUUUUUUUAACAAAUUAGUCAUUUGGACCGAUCGUCCUUAGAGCAAGUGGCAAAGGGCUUGGUGGGAGUAGCAAACCAUAGCUAAAAUAAGCUUUUAGUUGAGUUGUUUUUUUUUUUUUUUUUUUUUUUAACAAACUAGUCAUUUGGACCGACCGUCUCUAGAGCAAGUGCCAAAGGACUUGGUCGUUGGUAUACGAGACCCAAGUUCGAAUCAUAGUUGAUUCACAUUUUCAACUAAGUUUAUUUCAAAAUGAAAUAAACAAAGCAGAUAGCGUGCUACCUGUCCCUAAAAAAAAAAACAAACUAGUCAUUUGGCAUUUUCGUAAGAAAUAUCUUAAGUUCAAGUUUGAAUAUGAUAAGGACAUCAAGUUCCACUUCAAAUAACAAAACAGAAAAAAAAGUUAAAAAAGGAUUGAAUUCUGGUUCGGUCAGGUCUAUCUAUUCUAGUUUAAUAACAACAAUAAUAAUAAUAAUAAUAAUAAUUAUUAUUAUUAUUAUUAUUAUUCUCAUUGGAGGUGAGGAUACCUUGUACUGCUCCUAACACCCAGCCGUUGAGCCGUCCGCGAUAACAGACAACCAAGUAGGGACUUCAAGUUGCAAAUUACCUGCAUAUCCACGCCGACUACAAUAAUAUAUAUAUAUAUAUAUAUAUAUAUAUAUAGAGAGAGAGAGAGAGAGNCACACACACACACACACACACACACACACACACACACACACACACACACACACACACACACACACACACACACACACACACACACACACACACACACACACACACACACACACACACACACACACACACACACACACACACACACACACACACACACACACACACACACACACACACACACACACACACACACACACACACACACACACACACACACACACACACACACACACACACACACACACACACACACACACACACACACACACACACACACACACACACACACACACACACACACACACACACACACACACACACACACACACACACACACACACACACACACACACACACACACACACACACACACACACACACACACACACACACACACACACACACACACACACACACACACACACACACACACACACACACACACACACACACACACACACACACACACACACACACACACACACACACACACACACACACACACACACACACACACACACACACACACACACACACACACACACACACACACACACACACACACACACACACACACACACACACACACACACACACACACACACACACACACACACACACACACACACACACACACACACACACACACACACACACACACACACACACACACACACACACACACACACACACACACACACACACACACACACACACACACACACACACACACACACACACACACACACACACACACACACACACACACACACACACACACACACACACACACACACACACACACACACACACACACACACACACACACACACACACACACACACACACACACACACACACACACACACACACACACACACACACACACACACACACACACACACACACACACACACACACACACACACACACACACACACACACACACACACACACACACACACACACACACACACACACACACACACACACACACACACACACACACACACACACACACACACACACACACACACACACACACACACACACACACACACACACACACACACACACACACACACACACACACACACACACACACACACACACACACACACACACACACACACACACACACACACACACACACACACACACACACACACACACACACACACACACACACACACACACACACACACACACACACACACACACACACACACACACACACACACACACACACACACACACACACACACACACACACACACACACACACACACACACACACACACACACACACACACACACACACACACACACACACACACACACACACACACACACACACACACACACACACACACACACACACACACACACACACACACACACACACACACACACACACACACACACACACACACACACACACACACACACACACACACACACACACACACACACACACACACACACACACACACACACACACACACACACACACACACACACACACACACACACACACACACACACACACACACACACACACACACACACACACACACACACACACACACACACACACACACACACACACACACACACACACACACACACACACACACACACACACACACACACACACACACACACACACACACACACACACACACACACACACACACACACACACACACACACACACACACACACACACACACACACACACACACACACACACACACACACACACACACACACACACACACACACACACACACACACACACACACACACACACACACACACACACACACACACACACACACACACACACACACACACACACACACACACACACACACACACACACACACACACACACACACACACACACACACACACACACACACACACACACACACACACACACACACACACACACACACACACACACACACACACACACACACACACACACACACACACACACACACACACACACACACACACACACACACACACACACACACACACACACACACACACACACACACACACACACACACACACACACACACACACACACACACACACACACACACACACACACACACACACACACACACACACACACACACACACACACACACACACACACACACACACACACACACACACACACACACACACACACACACACACACACACACACACACACACACACACACACACACACACACACACACACACACACACACACACACACACACACACACACACACACACACACACACACACACACACACACACACACACACACACACACACACACACACACACACACACACACACACACACACACACACACACACACACACACACACACACACACACACACACACACACACACACACACACACACACACACACACACACACACACACACACACACACACACACACACACACACACACACACACACACACACACACACACACACACACACACACACACACACACACACACACACACACACACACACACACACACACACACACACACACACACACACACACACACACACACACACACACACACACACACACACACACACACACACACACACACACACACACACACACACACACACACACACACACACACACACACACACACACACACACACACACACACACACACACACACACACACACACACACACACACACACACACACACACACACACACACACACACACACACACACACACACACACACACACACACACACACACACACACACACACACACACACACACACACACACACACACACACACACACACACACACACACACACACACACGGAUGUAUUGAUAAACACACGGAUGUAUUGAUAAUUUAUACAUCAACACACACGGAUGUAUUGAUAAUUUAUACAUCAACAUCAAUCAAUAGUAAAUAAACUGGAAAGAGGAAAAGAUGCUCUUAUGCAUGAACCUGUUUUUGGUACAUACACAGCUAGAGAUGCCCUUAUGCAUGAACCUGUUUUUGGUACAUACACAGCUAGAGAUGCCCUUAUGCAUGAACCUGUUUUUGGUAUAUACACAGCUAGAAUGAAGACAAUACAGUAGUGUUUUUUACUUGGGUCUGAACAAAACAUUAAUUAUAAUAAUUUGUUAUUAAGGCAUUAAAUCUUUUGCGCAACAAAAGUGCCAGAAGAAUUAGGUCGCUGCUAUUAGCAAAAUCACUUAAAUUUGGGGUGCACACAUCAAAUUCAUAUCUAAUAUUUAAUCUACUUAAAUAUUGUCAAUAAAUAAAUAAUAACGGAAUUUAACUAAUAAAACUCUCUAUUAAAAAAAAAGAAGAAUAAAAAAGCGUAGUCUACUUUAUUUUUCAUCUCUCUGUAGAAAGAGAACCACGUACGAACUGGUGAUUGCAAGCUCAUUCACAAAGAUCGAUAUUAUAAUUUGUGUGCUCAAUUUGGUGAGAUUUGAGGAUGAGUGAUUGCCAGGUGAUAACUAUUACUUGUUAACAAGUCCAAAUAUAAAGACAAUUUCUGAAGAAUUAGUGGGAAUCGUUCGUUACGCUUUGGCCAGCGAGCGAGUCCACCACCAGGCUCUCACGUGGGCAAGCCAAUGACGGCAUCCCACGUACGUACCCGCGGGAAAAACACAGCAGCGCCUCCUCCUGCAGUCCUGCUGCUGCUGCUGCUGCUGCUGCUGGGCCACCACACUCUCUUACUAUUAAUUACUCUACAAACUACAGGUGACGAGACGAGCAUCACACACAGCAGCAGUGCAGAACUGGAAAAUUAAAUUAGAAUCUGGAGGGACCGGAGCCGAAAGAAAACAAAAAAAACCAAAAAAAUCAACGUCAAGAGAAAAAGUUAUUGCGCCACAGCUGGCAAAUGUUAACCGGGCGUCGGCUUAACGGUCCAGAUUUACAUAACAGACUAACCCCCGCCCCCUCCCUUCCCUUCCCUUCCCUUCUGGUUAAAACAUUUAUUAACGCACUUCAUCAACCCCUCCAUCCCUACCCUAGCUAUUUUUUUAUUAUUAUUAUUAUUAUUAUUAUUUUUUAGAGAUAGAUAGUACGCUAUCUAUUUCGUUUAUUUUAUUUAAAAAUAAAUUUAACUGAAAAUAUGAAUCAACUAGAAUUCAACUUGGGUUUUCGAUACCAACCAUCUAAUUUUUUGACACUUAGGCCCCGUUUGGAUACUUCCAAAAACGUAGCAUAGUUAAACUAUGCUACGCCGGUAGGAAAAUAAUCCUAUGAAGUGUUUGGAAGAAAAAAAAAUUACGUAAUUUUUGGAGUAUAGUUAUACUAUAGUCUAAAAAAUGGAGUAAACUUACAAUCCACUUUAACCAAAGGAAAAAAAAUCCACCAUUUUGGGCUCCUAAAGAUGUAUUAAUUUCUAAAUUUUAAAUUUCAANAAAUUUUAAAUUUUAAAGUUUAAAUGGUAUACUUUAAAAUUUAAAAUUUAAAGUUUCAAAUUUCAAAUUUUAAAUUUCACAAUCGAAAUUUCAAAUUUCAAAUUUAAAACAUAAAAUCUAAUUUAAUUUUUUAAUUUUAAAUUUUAAAUUUUAAUUUUAUAUUUUAUAUUUUGAAUUUUAAUUUUUAAAAUUUUAUUUUUAAAUUUUUGAAUUUUGAAUUUUGAAUUUUGAAUUUUGAAUUUUAAUUUUUAAAUUUUUAUUUUUGAAUUUUAAAUUUUAAAAUUUUAGAAAUUUAAUUGUUAUAAAUACUGUGGAAUUGUAUGAUCUGUAUCCAAACAGCUUAAAAAUAAAGCUGUGGAAUUUUUUUGUAGUUAAAGGAUUCCGUAUUUUUUGUAGUUACAGGAUUUGGAUUUGAAUUUCAUGAAGUUUUUUAGCUAUGCAUCCAAACAGGGCCUUAUUCUGAAAACGAUAGGUAUUAUUAUUCUUAUUAUAUUAUUAGUGCCAGUGUUAUUGUUAUUCAUUUAAUUUCAUUAUUAUUAUUAUUAGUAUUAUUGCUUUAACUCCACUACCCCCAUAAUUAACGUCCUCAGAUGCCACCUCCUCGGCCCCACCACUGCGCUUGUCCCCCUUCUCUCUCUAAAAUAAAAUGGUGCGAUGCAUUGUAUCUGCUUCGGCAAAUUUCUGGUUCUUCGGCCGCAUCAACGUCACAUGGACGGAUGGACGCAACAAAUGAAAAAGAAUAUAAUUCUGUGCGGUAAUAUGAUCUUCUCAUCCUCGAGAAGUAAACGCUUCCCCUCGCUCCCACCACCCCCCAUCUCUCUCUCUCUCUCUCUCUCUCUCUCUCUCUCUGACACACACACACACACACUCACACACAUAUGUACACUCUUUUAUUAUUUUAUUUGUGGCUUAAGGUGUGAAGUAAAUAAUUCCCGACCUCUCUCUCUCUCUCUCUCUCUCUCUUCUCUUCACCCUUUAUCGCCCGAUAAGAUCGGGGCCGAUUCGAGAAAGAUCGGCGGAGUCACCUUCUUCGCCUCCGCUAAUGGAGGAGGAGGGUCGGAUCCGAUUCUCGCUUCCCUGAUUCCCUUCUUUCUUCUUCUUUUUUUUUUCGAUUCCCUUCGUCUUCUUCCGCUCUCUAUCACCAAGCAGUGGCCAUGGCGGCGGCGGCGGAACAGCGGCGGCUGAGCUCCGGCUGGCCCCCGGAUGCGGCGCUGGACCUGGUGCUCGGCUACGUCGACGACCCCCGCGACCGGGAGGCGGCGUCCCUGGUGUGCAGCAACUGGCACCGCAUCGACGCCCUCUCGCGGAAGCACGUGACGGUGGCGGUGUGCUACUCCGCCGCCCCAGAGCGCCUCCGCCGCCGCUUCCCCCGGCUCGAGUCGCUGAAGCUCAAGGGCAAGCCCCGCGCCGCCAUGUACAACCUCAUCCCCGAGGACUGGGGCGGAUACGCCGGGCCCUGGAUCGCCGAGAUCGCCGCCUCCUUCGACUGCCUCAAGGAGCUCCACCUGCGCCGGAUGAUCGUCGCCGACGCCGACCUCGCCGUGCUCGUCAAGGCACGGGGCCACAUGCUUCAGUCGCUCAAGCUCGACAAGUGCUCGGGGUUCUCCACCGACGCCCUAUCGCUGAUAGCGCGCUCUUGCAAGUACGGUGACUCUAUUUCACUCUAUUUCUAUUUCUAUCAGUAGUUUAGUAAGAUCUACUCUUCCUGUUUGAGUUCGUUGGUAUGAUUCAGUAUCUGAGUUCAUCGCUAGGAUCGAAUUUGAGUAGAAAGUACGGUGACUCCAUAGUUUCCGUUUUCUUUUUCCUUCUUUCCGCAAAUAAUUGGAUUUGGGUUUGGAUUUGGGUUUGGAUUUGAAUAGCACCCCCAAAACUUGCAAUAAAUUGGGGCUUUCCUGUUAUGAGGAAUUUUAUUUCGAUUCAAAGAAUUUAUCGUUUUGCUGAUGGUGUUUUUAUAGCUUAGAUCCGGAUACUUCUGGUCGAGUUAUUAAAUUUUACUAUUUCACCCUUCAUUCAGACGUAAUUUGGUUCUCGAUUAGUAUGUCCCCUGUUUUUCAGUUGACUUUGGUUUCUUCGAGUGCUUCUUUUCUUUGGCGUACGUGGUUCCUCUGAGAUAUAUCUAUAUCUUGAUGAAGGCAACUAAUUAACUUCCUGUUAAUCUCCCUUAUAAGUUGUCUGAUUCGAGGGACUGAGCGAUAUAGGAUUGAUUGCUGUGAAAUAAUUGGGUUGAAAAGUGAUAAAGAGUCUCGUGUUGGCAGAUUACUGAUACAAUACUUUCGGAUCCCAUCAACUAGACUAGGUGCCCAAGUAUUCAGCGGAUGCUGUCCAUGUUUCUUUUGAAGUUGAUCAUAUUCCGCUUGUUAUAUAAUAGGAGAAGAGAACCAUUCCAAUUUUCAAACUAGGCUUGGGACAGUGAGGCGGUUAGUUUUGUGUUUAGCUCUCUUAUCAUCUGUAUUCAUGCACCUUCAUAAGUAUUACUUCAGUGAGAAGAAUGGUAACUACAGCGCCUUGCCUUCAAUGUGUUCAGCGAGUUACUAUUCUGCAUUCCAUGCAGGGAGAAUUAUAUUGUUGAUACAAAAAUUUUCAAUUACUAUGCUCUAGGUGGCCGCUCAGCCUCUCCUACCAUAGCUAGGUAUUCCUUUUUAUUCUUCAUGUACAGAACCAUGAAGGAUGUGGUGAUUGUCACGAGGAUCAGUAGGAUUGACAACGAUAGUUGUAAAAGUGGUCUGUCAUAUUUUGAAUGCUCAAUCGGUAUGUAACAUUUUGUUAGAUGAUUUGCCUAAAUGUGGAUAAAAAUAGCCAGCUAGCCAUGAAUAUGUCUUCUCUUAUUUUUUUCCCAUUUUUCGCUUUUGUCUUGUAGUAUCAUCUUUGAGAGUAGUGCUGUCAAACAGCAAGCUGCGAAAUUGUUUUUCAUAUCAUGGUUGUGGUUGCCAGUGCAACUAUAAUUUGCUUUAGAAUUAUGUUAGUAAAACAGAUGCGUUAGUUUCAUUUUUUGUUGAUUGUAUUUCAUCCUUCAUUGAAUACAAGUUUGGCGAUGAAGGGUUUGGUGAAACUUGUCCAACCAUAGAAAGUUCUAGCUAAACUCAAUUCUGGUUCAGUUUAGUGAGGCCGGCUACAGUGUGGCGCUGUACUUGCUCAAAGUGGAUAGGAAUCACAGAAUCAGGCUAGCACAUGCAAAAAAGGAUAGGAUUCUUGAUGUGUCAUUUUAUGAAUCUAUAAAUACAGAGACAUAAAGGAACAGCAAAACUGAGUAAAACCUUAGUUGGAGAUCUGAGGUUUUAUGAUGCACUGCUUUCCGCAAAAAACAUUAUCUUUGAAUCUAUAGAGGGAGAGAAUGAAAAAGAUUGAUAGGAUUUUCUUUGUUCGUCACAUGUACAUACUUUGUGUAAGCAAUCUAAUAUUACUUUAUAGAUCAGUCGAGAUGCAGACAUGGUUUCUUUUCAGACAUGCAGUUAGCGCUGGAUUCUUUGUCUCAUUUCUUUCUUUUUCUGAACUGUUUUGUAGUCCUUUUGGAUGGUAUUUUGUAGCACAAUUUCCUGCAAAUAGUGUGUCUGUUAUUGUUUGAUGGCAAUCACUCAUCUACUGCAUUAAAUAAUGCAUUAAUCCUAAUUAUGUGAGCAGAUCCCUUAGGAUCCUCUUUCUGGAAGAAAGCUCAAUUACCCAUAACGGUCCAGAAUGGCUCCAUGAACUCGCCAUCAACAAUUCUGUGCUGGUGUCUCUAAAUUUUUACAUGACCGAUCUCACUAUCGUGCCAAGCGACCUCGAGCUACUCGCGCUAAAUUGCAGGUCACUGAUUUCUGUGAAGAUCAGCGACUGCGACCUUUCUGAUCUAGUUGGCUUUUUCCGAGCAGCCUCAGCAUUAGAAGACUUUGGGGGUGGGUCCUUUAGCGAUCAACCAGAAGAGGCCAAUCAACCAGUAGAGGCCAAUAGGUACAGCGGAGUUGUCUUUCCUGCAAGACUCUGCUGCUUGGGCCUUACUUACAUGGCGAUGAUUAAUAUGCACAUAAUUUUCCCUUUGUGUGCGGCACUCAAGAAGCUCGACUUGCAGUACACUUUUCUCACCACCGAGGAUCAUUGCAAUCUGAUUCAACGGUGUCCCUAUCUACAAGUUCUUGAGGUAUGGCCAGUUAUCGACUGACUUUAGGUAAAAAAAUGUGUGGAGAGUCGCUCAUAUACAGGCUAUAACAAAAUAGACACCCUAGCUUUAUAUAUUUGUUUAUUUAUUUUAUUCUUGCCCCUCGACUUUUCCUUGUUUUGAUUUUAUUUAUUUAUUUAUUUAUUUUACAGUUAGAUGAACUGGAGAUUCAUUUAAAUUUAAUAGUGAUACUGUUAAAUGUAACAGCUUGCUUUUCAAGUGCGACUAUGGAUUUUGUUGACAGCAAUAGCCCAUUUAAGUAGCUGAGGGAAACGUUAGUUUUAUCAGACACUUCAUUUCAGCUACGGAAAUAACCUAAACUGAAAACAAACACAAGUUGAUUAGUCGAUCAGAAAUAACAAUGUUGAGGUGUCUAUUUCAAAAUGGCCAAUGGUUGAGGAGGUCGCUAUACAAUUUUACCACGAUUUUUAUUAGUUGGAGAAGAUAUUUUCUGUUAUCAUUUACUGAAUCCUCAGUGUAAGUUUUCUGCAACAGGUAAGGAAUGCAAUAGCAGAUAGAGGACUAGAAGUAGUCGCGAACACAUGCAAGAGAUUACGGAGACUCAGAAUAGAGCGAGGGGCCGACGAGCCCAGCCUCCAAUAUGAGGAGGGUCGGGUUACACAAGUAGGGUUAUCUGCCAUUGCUCUCGGCUGCCCCGAACUGGAAUACCUAGCAGUAUACGCCUCUGAUAUCACUAAUGCAGCCCUCGAAUCUAUCGGCAAUUUCAGCAAGAACCUUUGCGACUUCCGCUUCGUCUUGCUUGACCAACAAGCGAAAAUUACAGAUUUGCCUCUUGACAAUGGGGUUCGUGCUCUCUUAAGAGGCUGCACUAAACUUCGAAGGUUCGCAUUUUAUCUGAGACCGGGAGGACUAACGGAUAUAGGUCUUGGUUACGUUGGGAAAUACAGCGCGGACAUCCGAUACAUGCUGUUGGGUAAUGUCGGGGAAUCCGACAGUGGGUUGAUGCAGUUUGCCAGCGGCUGCAAGAAUUUGCAGAAGCUGGAGUUGAGAGGCUGUUCCUUUAGUGAGCAAGCUUUGGCCCAGGCAGUGCUGGAAAUGCCAUUACUGAGAUACUUAUGGGUCCAGGGUUACAAGGCGUCUCGAACGGGCCACGGGCUUUUAGCCAUGGCCCGGCCUUUUUGGAACAUGGAGCUUAUCCAUCCCUGGCCGGAGAUUGUUGAUUGUGAUUCUGAUCACAGCCAAUCUUUGCUGGAGAUGAUAAAUUUUGCCCUCGAUCAUGGGCGAGAUUUUGUAGAUAGUCAGGCUCAGGUGCUUGCCUAUUACUCUCUUGCUGGGAAGAGGUUAGACUAUCCGGAAUCUGUGACUCCUUUAUAUCCGGCAUAGAGUGUACAUAAAAUACAUAGGCUAUAUUAACUAUUUCUAUAGCAGUAUCUUUUCUUCCUUUUUUUUUUUUUUUUUUUUUCUCCCUUCUUUCUGCCCCCGCCCCACUCCUUUCUUUUCCUUUUUCUUUUUCUUGUGCUUUUGACUCCUGAUUGGUUGGUACGUCUUUGUGGCAAUAAUUAUGUGCAUAAAUGUACUAUAUACCUAUUUUAGUAGAACGAUAGGCUGAGUUGUGUAAUAAGAUACUCAGUUACUUGUAGUAUUUGAGAAAGAUAUGUACGUUUUUGGGUGCUAAGAAAAAUGCAUGGACAGACAUAACGCUCUCUAGUGUUUUCUCUAUAUUUGUGUAAAUUCAUCCUGGAUUCUGUGUCGACUGAUAAAAAUUCAGUAAAGCUCAUAAUGGUUUCCUCAUUGGAAAUUAAGGUCACACGGCGUUGAACUUGUGGUGUCUCUUGCAGUGAAAACAAAAGAUUUAUUUAGAUUUUGGCGGGCACUGACGCUUUCCAUGAAAGAUUCUGUUUGAGGCGCGUUUGUGCGGCGAGAAAAUCUACAACUGUAACGACCAUUUGGGGUUGGGGACCCCUCUUAGAGAGAUUUUUAGGGCAUGGACUAGUCUCUUGUAGGAUCAUAUUCGUAGCUAUUAAAAUCAGAACUGACGAAUAAAGGAUGGGGAUGAUGUUGAGGAAAGCAUUUUAAAUGUCGAAGCCUCUUAAUCUUUCAAAAAGGCAGAUCAAAACUUCAACAAAUUGAAAGCAUAGGCGUGCUUGGUCUUCUUUGAAAAAAGGUAAGCAAGUGCACCUAGUUAAACCACUUCAAAUAAUAAUAUUGAAGGAAGCAGCAUCUCCUCCAAGGCUCCAAAACAAAAGUGGGUAGAAUCGCAUUCAAUUACUAAUAAAAAGCCAACAGAUGUGACCACUAUGCUUUUGCUGCGUUGAACCUUUUCCCUCUUCUCUAUCUAUUGGGCGGAGCACGUACAAUUAGCAAGUGGCCUCUCUUUCGGGACCUCACUUUCUGAUAGUUGGAGCCACUGCAGCAAUAAACACAGCAAACAGAAAGCUGCAGCAGCAGCAGCAGCAGCAGCAGCAGCAAGCAACAAUUGAAAUGCACUUGGGAAUAUUAAAGGAACGCCAACCGCCACCAACUCCAACAGCCACAGUAAGUAUGUGGGCUUUUGUUUAUUGCUGCCUGUCAUUUGUGAAACACCCUGCACAAUUUGAAAUUGCCAACAACAAAGAGAAGUGAUGGUGGUGCCAAUAGCCACUUUUGUUUUUUUCUUUCUUUUUUUUGGUGGGGUGGGGGGGGGGAAACCCGCAAAUAGUUAUGAUUUAAGACAGAUUCGUGCAUCUCCACAACAGGGACUCGGAUUUCAUUCGACUGACACUUUUACAAUGCCAUAGGCCGCUUUUAUUUAUAAUCUCACUCAUUUUUCUAAAAGCGUGACCACUAUAUGAAAGUGGAUCUUGCGUCAAUGAGAAUAGCUAGCUAUACAUGGGCAAGUAUACAGGUAACUUUAGUUUAUCCACUCAAUUGUGCAACUUAUACCGGCUAUACAGCAGAAAACAGGAGUCGAGAUUAAGCAUGUGAUGCUGUCCAAGUGGAAAUCCGACUCAUCUUCUACUAUCCUUUUAGUGGGCAUUUAUAGUCAGAGAACGUAAUAUUCAGGCUCAGUUUGUCUGAAGACAGUGAUAUUAGCACUGAUACUUAUAAGCACUAAGAAAUCUAGGAGAAGUUCUACUAAAAGCUUGCAACCAACACAAAAGGAAUAAUAAUAAUAGACAUGCGUAGAAACCACAGCAUACAUUAAGAACGCAACUAUAAGUAUCUGAUCAUAUGAAAACAGUUUGUUUCCCUCUGAUCAAGUCUCUGGUAUAGUAGUUUCUUUUCUUUUCUUUUCUUUUUUUGGUUUUUUAAAUGAAAGCUGAUAUAGCUGAAUUUAAUAAGUUGGGGGGAUGGGGUUGUGGAAGGGGAAUUAAUGCAACGGUGCACAAUGAAUUGACUAAAAAAAUAAUAGCUACGGGAAGAAAUAGAUACCCACUAAUUUGUUCAUAAUAAAUUUGCGAUAAGCGAAAGCAAACAACAAAUCAAAUGCAACAUAGAAAUGCGACCAGGUCAAGGAGGCAUGAAAUACUAAUCUUUACAUCUAUAACCUACAAUAAAUAGAUGAAUAGUUCGAUGCAAUUAUUCCUCUCCCCGAACGCUAAAAUAUAGACUUGAUUCGUAAUAUCCGCAGGAGGCUGAAAGACAUCAGCUAGCUCAGACAACACAAUUAGUGCAUCAAGAACAGUGCACGAUGAAAUGAAACAUUCGGAGUCCUCCAAUUUCUUCCGCAGCAUAGAUCAGAGAAGCCCUCGGACCGAUGAAUUCGAGUGUAGUAACCUGUUCCUUUGGGAGGCCGUGUAAGAACCAUCAUAGCGUGAUUUGCGUAAAUCUCUUGCUGAUAUUACACCCACUUCUCAUAUUCUACGCUCAUCUUCUCUCAAGAAUGAGCACAGUAUUACUCUUGUGUGUAUUUUCUGUCUUUGCAAAUCGCUUAUUAGAAACCGAGCUCUUGAGAAAGGGGAAUAACCCUUUUGAAGGUUUCGCUCUCCUGCACAUCAUUUUGUUCUACACUGAGAAAUGAAUUUUAUACACAAAGAAGGGUCAAGACGUUAUGCAAGACCCAUCUUCAAAACUCUCAGCAGGAAGGCUCUUAAAGCUUAUAAUAUAGUACUAAGUAUUUCCAUCCUCAAUCCGUAAUCCGCUCAAAUCAAGGACAAGGAGCUGACGAAUAGCACAAGGAAGUUGCUUCUGUUUACAUGAGGGCAGAGGUGGUCCGAUAGCGUACGCAGCGUCCGUCCGUCGUCUGAUAGUUACCAACCAACAAACGAGUCAUUGAGAAUUCCCCUGGGCAAAUCCUGCGACUCUAAUUUCAAUCCAUACGGAUCGAUUCCAAAGGUAGUGGAUGGAACGAACGGAUUACUAUGUACCGACGAGUUGAGAACGCUGGUAGCUGCUUCGUUGUGUCGCUUGGAAUCAACGAUCAUCGAGAUCUGAUCAGAAAUUGCAGUAGAGGAAGGAGCCGGACUCGAGCUCAUAGUAGUAACUACCGGGGGCUGGGAAGGAGAGGGGGGCCGAUCAUCGUCGGGCAGAUUGACGGUGGUGAUGUCGUGAAUGCUGGAUCUCCGCUUAUCUUUGCCUCCCGAGUUGAGCCUAAUGAAGUACUUCUGAGCGUGGCUAGCGACUUGGGUAGAGGUCCGGCUGGUGACGAAGUUGCGGGAGAUGUUUCUCCAAUCACCUCUGCCGUAUUUCUUCAGACCCAUAAGAAACAGCCUGAAACCAACCGUAUAUAUAAAUUUAGCUAAAUCAGUAUCAGUAUCAGUAUCAAUAAUAAUAAAAAAGGACAUAGUGGACAUACUUGUGCUCCUUCUCGGUCCAAGGGACCCCCUUCUUCCUCUCUUGAUCGGGGCCUCUUCCGGCGGAGCGCUUGGCGGCGACGCAGUAGGCGUCUGUGAGGCCGUCGAGGCGGCAGCAGGCGUCGUCGUCCCAGUCGAGCGUGAAGGCGGAGGAGGGGCCGUGGGCGUAGCGCGGGAAGGGGACGAGGCCGGCCUCGAUGAAGCUGACGUCGCUCUCCAGCUGCCGGUAGUGGGCGAUGACGUCGCCCUCCGUCUUCCCGGGGAUCGCCGCCGCCACCCUCGCCCAGCGGUCGGGGUCGUCGCGGUCCAAGCGCGCCAGCGCCUCCUCGAACGCCUUGUUCUCCUCCUGCGUCCACGCCCCGCCCCCGCCCCCGCCCCCGCCCCUGCUCUGCGAGAGGAACCGACUCGCCAGGUGCGGCGGCGUCGGCGGAAGCACUUCCAUCCACGACUCCUUCAUCAUGGAGCCGGAGCCGGAGCCGGAGCCGGAGCUGGAGACCAGAUCGAAUCAAUCUACGGAUAAAUUAAGAACGGGCGCGCUCUGUCGGACGGACUAUAUUCCCAAUAAUCAAUCUACAGCAGAUGCAGCAGCAAGCAGCAGAGAAAAGAAACCCGGGCGCCGGGGAGGAGCCACAACGCUGCUCUCCUCGAAGAAUUCAUAAAAGGGCUCACUAUAUUCGACAUGGGCACGCGCACGCGCACAAAAACACACACACAAAAACACACACACACAGAGAGAGAGAGACAGAGAGAGAGAGAGAGAGAGAGAGAUAGAGAGGAAGAGAGAGAGAGAAAGAGGAUGAGGAGGAGGAAUAGGAUGAAUGAAUGAAUCUAGACCCUCCCUGUUGUUGUCUUCUUCCUCCCCCGGCCCCUCCCCCUAUUUUUUUUUUAUUUUUUUUAAAUUUUUUAUUUUUACUUUACUCACACUAUUUCUCUCCACCGUUUGAGAUUCUAAAAUAUAUAUAGGAGGAAGAGAAGAGUGGUGGUGGUGGCCUCCGAUUGGGCCUUGGUGGAGUUUGUGGCCUCUCAACCAAGGAAAAGCGCUCUUACCCUUCGAGGGGCGUGCGUGUAAAUAUAAUAAUAUUCCGCACCGCAUCUAUCUACCUAGCACGAAAUAUUAUUAUAUUAAUUUUCGCACCACCAAAAUAUUAUUUUCCAUGGUUAAUUCUAGAACUCUCUACUUUACCCAUUUUUUUUUAUAAAAAAAAAAAAAUUGCUACCUGCUGCAGACCUAUACAAAAGUGUUAGAUUUGCAUAUUAUCCGUCCAAAAAUUUACAAAUUUUUUUAAAAAAUUUUUAUAUUAAAAAAAUAAUAAGACUAGCUAAUGAAAUAAAGUGAUAUAAGAUUUAUAGUUUUGCCCGUCAGUAUAAAAUAGCAUUGCUCAAAUUAAAAUAUUACUUAUUAUUCGUCUUACGCUGCAGUCCGCAGAUACCUCCUUCUUCUUUUUUUUUCCCUCUCAGAUUUUAUUGUCUCAACUUGAUCUAGUAAACUUAACUAAUUAAAGUUUUACAACCAAAAAAAAAAAAAAAAAACCAUGAAUGGUUAUGUAAAUAAAUAAAAGGAAUAGUGUAUUUUAAGUUGGUGUGGUAAAUAAAUAUAUAUAUAUAAUAUGGUAGAGCAAACUCAGAUGAUAGUACCUAUACAAGAUUACAUCUUACUAAGUACUUCUCCUAUAUAUUUCUUACAAUGUAAAAUAACUUCGCCCCUUUUUUUAUUUACAUAUAUAAAAUUAUACUGUAGGUAUAUAUAAAUAGACAUACAUAUAUACUUUAUAAGAAAUCAAACUAGAAUACUAUUAAUAAUGGAUGAAUAUAUAAUAUUUACUAUAAACUUUUUAAUCUUUAAAUUCAUAUAUAACAGUAUUGCCAUCAAAUAAUAAAUUCUAGACAUCUAAAUAUUUUUUUUUAAAAAAGCCUAUAUAUAGUUGUGCUAUUCAUAUACUGUUAAUUAUAAUUGAUAUUUCGGCUGUAUUUUAUUAAGACAAAGAAAAAAAGCAAAAUUGAGGGAAAAUAUAUUUUUGUGCAAGUACAAAUUGAGUUGCCAUUUUCAUUAGGGUACAGGUGCACUCGGCAAGGAAUAUAUUUGCUUGAAUGUGAGGUUAAAGUUUAAGUUAAUUUUGGAGUCCAACCGAGCAACGGAGAGAGAUAGGUACAAAACGAGUUGGUACUCCACUCCAUGCAUGUCCCACCCAAAAUUAAAAUAUCUUUGCCUCAAAGUACAAAAAGGCGCCACGUGUGCGUCACAAGCUUUCACGUUGGAACCAAGAUGUCGUUGUGUUGGAUAAUGACAUUGUCGGCAGUAUGGCUGUUCCUAAUUGGCUUCUUCUUCACAUAUAUAUAUAUAUAUAUAUAUAUAUAUAUAUAUAUAUAUAUAUAUAUAUAUAUAUAUGUAGUUUUAACAAGUACAACAAAUUAAGUUUAUUUCUCUGCAUAAAAUUUAGUGCAAAGUCGAUGGAAUUAAGCUGUUCGUUCGUUUCCUUGAUCGUGCAUAAAGCUUUUUAUUAUUACCAAGCUCUACAAUUUUUUUUUUUUUUUACUUUUAUUUUGUUCUCGCCUUAAUUUGGAGUUUUUCCCGUGAGCUGUUUUGUUCGCGCAUUGAAGUAGAAUUGGGUCCUAGCUGUCACGCCACUUGCGGUCCGUUUUGACGAACCAACUCCCACCCCGCUCUUCUUUAUAAAAAAAGUUCUAAUAUAUCAUACUUAUGUUACAUCAUCAAUAACAAUCUAUCAUAUCUUUACUUAAAAAAUAAUAAUUAUAUUUUUUUUAUAAUUAUAAUUAAAUUUUAAACAAAUUAGUUAAUUGAUGAGAGACGUAAUCAAAAUUUCAUCUUCAGCUCUCUGUUUCUCUUCGUCACCUGCUCUCUCUCUCUCUCUCUCUCUUCUCUUGCCUAUUCAUUAAAAAAAAUUAUUUGUUCACAAAUGACAUGUCGAGGUGCCAUUGGCGUUAAUGCUACGCCACUAGAGUGCGUGAGAUUCCACUCAAUCUAAUUAUUUCUUGAGAACUAUGCUACUCAUAACUUGUACACAAGGCUAGCUACUUGUGCGUAUAUAAAUAUAGUAUAAAUCUUUCACUUUAUUCAUAAAAAUUAUAUUUUAAUUAAUUUAAUAUUUUUAAUAUAUAAAUUUUUAAACGAUAUACGACUUUCUUAUAGAGUGCAUAGGAGAGUGUACGGACAGUAUUAUUCAAACUUACACAGCCAAUGAAUCAUCGUAACAAAAAUUAUUUUUAAUUUAAAAAUUAUAUUAAAUAGUGCGAGAUUAAGUCUCUGUUUGAAAUUAUGAGAGAACAUUAGUGAUAAAAAUAAAUCGAUUAAAAAUUAUUUUAUUUAUUUUUUUAUCUCUUAUAUUGUAAUAAAUCGAUUAUGAAAUAUUUUCUGUGGUCAUAUUGAAAAGCAUAAAAACAUAUCCUCAAUAUUAUAUAUAUUUAUAUAUAUAUAUAUAUAUUAUAUAUAUAUAUAUAUAUCUUUACUGUUAGAGACAAAAAAAAAAAAGGUCUAGGUCCUCUGCAUUUCUGUAGAUUUCUUUUAAAAAUUAAAUAUUAGAUCUUCAAAUUUAAAAUAUAAUAUGGUUGAAAAAAAAAAUUUAUGGAUCAGUACAAAAAACUAGAUAAAUUAGAUGCAAGCAAUAGCUUUUAAUCUAAGUUAAUGACUAAAAUAAAAUAUAUAUUUAAAAGUCUAGAGAUUAAAUUGAAAUCGAAAUAAAGUUUGUUGGGGACUACUACCAGCAGUGCAAUUUAUCCCGUUAAAUAAAAUUCAGGUAAAAAUAUAUAAAAUUUACCUAACCUAUGAAUCAUUUUAAUUGGACUAUUCAAUCUCUUAAAAAUUUGAUUUACUAUCCAACAUUUCAAUUUAUUUGAUUUGAGUUAAUUAGACAAUAAUACUUUAAUGUUAAAAUGUAAGUAUAUCAUUUAUUUUUAUAAAUUUAGUUAAUAUAAUUUUAUAUAAUUUACAUAAAUAUAAUUUAAUAAAAUAAAAAAAUAAUUUAAAUUUGAAAAUUAAAAUAUUAUUGAUUAAUUUAAAUUAAAUAAAUUAAAAGAUAGAAUAGAAAAAUUGUUAGAUAAGUUUCGGAAGUUUUUACCUAUUAUUACCUAAUGUAAAACUUCAAGUACGUUUAAUUUGAUAUGAAUAACAACUGUCAUGUCACAUAUCAAUCAUUCCACCAUGCACGAUUGAUUACGAAAUCAGAUGCCCACUUCCAGACGAACCUGAUUGUCCAUCGGUCAAGAAAAUUUACAGUAAAAACCAAACAAAAACAAAAGUCAACAAUAGUGUAGUCAAACUGAUAGUGAGAUAAUUAUGACGCCAAUUAAACAAAUGUGAAGUUGGAGAGUUAGUCUAAACAGCGUUUUGCCGUCUCUUUCCCGAGGAAUUCUACACUGUCACACUUACACCACGUUAUCAAUAACAAGCCACUCAUAUUCAUUUUUUUCAAACAAAAGUACAAUAAAAAUAUUUUUUUACAAUCAUGAUAGAACAUAUACCACUAAAAGGAUAUAUAUGAUUGAUUUGUUACGCCACGUCACUAAUAUACCCGUUGCAUUCUAGAAUUUUUCCUCUUUCUCUCCAGACUCUUCUCUAGCUCUCUCUCUCUCUCUCUCUCCCAACAUUUUCUCCUCCUUGCUACCUCCUCUUCGGCCAUGCAGUAGAUUCGAAUCUUAGUUUAAUUUUAUCUCAAAAUUUAUUUUUAUUUUUUGAGAAAAAUGUAGUUCGCUAUCCGCUUCAUUCAUAGAAAAAGUGAAUUAAGCUACAUGAGUGAGGCAACACGGCCUUGAAAAGGGUGAUAAAAAAAAAAGGUUCUAAUCUACCAGUUGCACAAAUGCAUUUCUGCUGAAAGCAGCUGUUCCCAUUGGGACAUCAACAGUUUAAUCUUAUGAAUUCCAAAAAAAGGGUUAACCUUAAUCUAUCUGAAGAUAGUACUAUUCCGAACCUCCCAAGUGACCCACUAGCAAGCUAUUAAACCAAUUGGCCGGGAUCUUGAUAGUAACGAUCCUUUCCUACAUAUCCACUUAUCCCAUUCCGAAAUCACAUCGUCACCUAAAUUUUGAUUUUGAACAUUCUCCAAGGUCAUUAUCAUUAGAAAUCUUAUAAAUUUUUUUAAUAGUAUCUUCUAUAUUGUUACCUAUAAUCUACUUUGUAGUCAUUUAGAUCUUCGUCACCUUAUUCUACUAUUUCGCUACUCGAAAUUUUUUUCUCCUUCAAUCUGCCUGGCGUCACCGAUUUUAUACCUAUCUUUCGUAUUGGAGCUAAGCGAAUUCAGAAAGAGGGAUGUUUCUAUAUAAGUUGAAGAACGAAAAUGAGACCAAAAAUACAGUCUAAAAAAUUAUUCUUGUUUAUAUUUAUUUUAUAUAUUUUUUAAUAUUAUAUGUAUUAAUCCAUGCUCAAAUUUGCGCACCGAUAUAUGGUAUCUUUGGCUCUUUUUUUUUGCCCUUUUAAGUUUGGAAGCUGUCAACUUCUUCUUUUUCUUUUUUUUUUUUAACUUUUAAGUUUGGAAGCUGUCGACUUUUUCUUUUUCUUUUCUCUAGUUUUAAAAAUACUAAAUAACAUCCUUACUUUAUUUUUAAAACUUCUAUAAAAGAUGUAAUAAAAUUCUAUUUUUUAAAUGAAAUAACUGCAACCUUUUAAACUCCUAGGAGAGGGAGAGUGGACUUCGGAGUUGUUUAUUUGGGGCUAAUCUACUACGACCAAUAAGGUACUUCCACGACCUUGUUUUAUUUAUUCAAAAAAAGAAGCGAAGGUACUCGGUACUCUGAACUUGGAUCUUAGUUACACGCGCGGACAGAAUUAUAAAAAUAAAAAAAUAAUAAAAAAGAAUCUACCUCUAAUCAAAAGGGUCCAAAAAAGAGAGUGGCUUGUUUAAUGCUUCUCGUUGUCAUUAAAGCGCCCCCCACCGCCCAACGCCCAUUGGUUCCUCACCUUCAGCGAAAAAUGCAUUAUUGGGGUCGAAGAUUCCACGUUCGUUAUAUUCCCCCCCUGCGGCCUCUCAACCUCGGGAAGCACAACUCCCUCCAACCCCCAUUUAAUUACCUCUCUUAGACUGACACAUGGCCUCCUCCGUAUUUAAGUUCACCUGCAGUUUCUUAUUACUAUCAUCAUCGUUAUCAUCAUGCCAGAUAGGAAUUUUAUAGCAUUAAUCUAAUCAUCUCUACCAUAUCAUUGUGUAACUAAUAAAUAGAACGUGCAUUCGAUAACGAGCAUUACGCAAAUGAAAUAUUAUUCCUAGUUAGUAUCAACAGUAGGAGCAUCUGCGCACACAGAUAGGUUGCUUGUGUCUGCCAGGGGAAAAGGCGACAAUCUACCUUGGCAUGUAAUAAACAAAGUUUUGGGAAAAGUUUGCUAAAUAAUACUUAACAAUUAAUUUCUUCUUAAAAAUCGUUACCGUAACACGUUCAUUUCAUAAUAUUUUGAGAUCCUUGUUGACCGCACCUUUAUAGGGAUGUUGUUUCGAAUUCAGGCAUGACAAGUCGACAAAGCGGCGUGAAGCUGCAUUCCAAAGAGCUGGCCCAACAUUUUUUCACCUUCGUUCAAAUACAGGUUCGGCGACGGCUGAGUAACACUCAAUUCAGUAGCCGCAUAGGGUACGGAAAUUAAGGGUCUGUGUGUGGAACAAUCGAUUAACUUAGGCCAGGAACAAAGCCCAAACGAGCCCACGGUCCAAAGCUGGCGAAGACCCACAUCACAGACAUGACAAUAUGAAAUUAUGAAGUAAUGAAGAGGGUAGUAGGUAUUUACAACUGAAUGAAAAAACGCAUCGGCCGUACCUGUUUCAUGUUUCUUGAUUGGCUUAUGAUGCAACUCGUGAUUCAAAUUUUUGCUCAAUUCCUUCGACGCUGUUUGCGAUACAUCAUGAUGAAACUGGAGAGUCAUACACUGUCUUCUAAAGAGACUGCAACAAUUUCUAGAGAGGACGUAAAAGAAUCAGGGAGUCUUCUAAGAGCUUGAGGACCGGAUUGGAAAAGGACUGAAGUUGAGGGCCUGUUCUACAAAAACCUACUAGACUUUAGAAAAGCAGAAUGAAAAGAAGCAAAGAGAAAGAAAAUAGAAAGAGCAUAGUCGAGAAGAAUUUGGAGAUAUAUCUACCUUGUAUAUUUGCGGUCCAACAAAAAGGCCGGAGCGGCAGAAAUUGCAGCACCUGAUUUUGAUAGCUACAUUUUUUCCUGCAAGGCUCAUCCAGAAGCAGCGGCUGUGAUCAACAGCUGAAAGAAAAAAGGGAAGAAUUAAACUUUAUCUUCGUAAUGGAGCUCCGAUUAAUGAAAAAGAAAAUUAUGUAAGUAGAAAUUCGCAUUUCCAUCAUGAAGAUUGUGUUAAAUGAGCACAAACUUUAGAUCAUCUUUGCACAAAGAACUUCCUAAGGUAGUACAAGAACAUGAAGGGAACAAGUUAGCUCUUGCAAAAUUAAAUUAGACUGGCAGAUAGAGUGGAUGAGCACUAGGAAAUGGACUAAGCAAGGUAUGAUCAGCUAUAGACUGAAGAAAUAAUAAUAACCAAAACAAGAUAUGGAUGAACAAAGUUUGCUUGGAGAAUAUGUUAGAUGCCUUAAAAUGUAUCCAAUCAAACAUACCAUUGGAGUAGAGAACAUGAAUGCUCAUCAUGUUUCAAUAUACGGGCAGGAGAUUUUGUGCAUGGCGUUUCAUUAUGCUUUUCCAAUCCAUUGGUAUGAUAUAUACCCAACGAAGCGACUGGAAAACAUAAUGUCAAAAUUAGAAACAAAUCAAUUUCCUCUGUAACUGCAUUUUAGAACGGAUUAGUCCAAGCUGCGAAUCAGUAUGCACUUACUGCAGAAAUAAAGAGAGCAAGACCAUACCUCACCGAAGAACAUCAGAGAGAUCACACUGAAAUAGGUCCAUAUUUGAUUACCGCCCUAACUAAUAUGCUCCAAGUAACAACACUUGGGCUAAUGCCACGAACCAAGGCAUCAUCCAAUAGCUUGAUCGCCUCUUGUGCAUUAUCGAAAGAACAAAGGCCUUUUAUCCGUAUAUUAUAUGAAAUGAUAUCCAGUUGCAACCCAGCUUCUAACAUUUGAGUCCAAAUAGCAGAUGCCUUUUCCCAGUAGCCAGCUUCAUAAAGCCCAUCCAUUAGCGUGUUGUAUGUGACUACAUUUGGGGUGCAAUUCUUCUGCUUCAUCUCCAAGCAAACAGUCAUGGCUUGUUCCAAUCGCCCAGCCGAACAAAGACCAUGAAUCAAGAUGUUAUGCAUAAUGACGUCCACCUCAAAUCCCUUACUGAGGACUUGGUUCCAGAUAGCAAGAGCAGCAUCAAACUUCUUAUCUCGACAAAGACCAUCAAUUAACGAGCUGUAAGUUGCCACAUCUGGGUUAAAACCUUUCUCCAACAUUUCCCUUGCCAUGCUAGAAGCUUCUAGAAACAUCUCGACCUUACACAAACCGUUUAUUAGAGUGUUGUAUGUUACAACAGUAGGAGAGCAGCCGUUUCCAACCAUCUCACUAAAGAUCCGUAGCGCGUCACUGAUGGCAGAACCUCGACAAAAUCCACUUAUCAGCACAUUGUAAGUAUGAGAGUUUGGUUUGCAGCCAUUUUUACUCAUUUUCUGAUAAAUAGAAAUGGCUUCUUUGGUUCUCCCAUCCUUGCAGAGUCCGUUAAUCAAUGAGGAAUACGCAAAGACAUCCAAAUCCUUCCCUCCAUGCUCUUCUGCUUCGUUCAAAACCCACAUUGCCUUGCUAAUAAGCCCUUUGUCACAGAGUCCAUGAAUCAGAACACCAUAGGUCACCGAAUCAGGAAAGCAUGUGCUUUCCUCCUUCAAUUGUUCCCACACCCCAAUUGCUUCGUCUACCUUGCCAUUGUCAAACAGACCCUUAAUCAUUGUAUUAUAACUGAUUAUACUACGAUCCCCAGCUUUUCCCAUAGAAUCCCACAGCUUCAAGGAAUCCCCGAGUCUCCCUGCUCUAAGUAAACCUUUGAUGAGAGAGUUAGAAAUAACGACAUCGAGGACAAAACCGGUCUUGAUCAUCUCCGAAUAGACGCGGGCAGCCCCGUCCACAUUACCCGACUCGCACAGCCCAUUAAGUAAAAUUCCAUAAGUGAAAUAAUCGGGACGGUGGCCAUUCACCACCAUCCGGUUCCACAUCUCCAUCACAUUCUCGAACUUGCCGAGCUUGCACAGCCCAUCCAGCAUUAUGUUGUAGGUGGACAGAUUCGGACUGACGGCAGUGUCCCGCACUAGCCGUUCCCAGACCUCCAUCCCUCCCUCGAACUCGCCUUUCUUAAGAAGCCCGUCGAUCAGGACGUUGUAGCAGACCACGUCGGGCGAGACGCUUCUCUCGCGCAUUUCGUCGAACAGCUCGAGGGCUCUCCCCAAGUCCCCGUUUUUUAUCAUGCCCGAUAUCAGAGUGCUGUAGGUGACGCGAUCCGGCUCGAAACCGUGGAGACGGAGGGUUUCGACGAGGGCGAGGGCGCGGUGGGGCAGGGCCCGGUCGCAGAGGCCGCGGAUGAGAAUGUUGUAGCUCUGGAGGUUGGGGGCAACGCGCGCGCCGCGGGCGAAGAAGGCGAAGAAGGAGUCGGCCUGGUCCCAGCGGCGGGCGCGGACGAAGGCGUCGAGGAGGGCGUUGUGGGAGCGGACGCCGGGGUUGCAGCGGAAGACGCGGGGGAGGUUGCGGAAGGUGCGGAGGGCGAGGUCGGGCAUGAGGGCGCGGGAGAGGGCCUUGAGGGCGACGAGGGCGGCGGCCUCGGAGAAGCGGGGGCGGAGGGGGCGGAGGACGGAGCCGGGCGGGGAGAAGCAAGGGUGUGACGACGUGAGCGCGGAGAGGUGGGACAGCGCCGCCACAGGAUCGCGCUCCGAUUUGAUCAGCUCCAGCAGUUGGUGGAUACGCGGCGCGCCGGGCGGUUCGGCUCCGUCCGCCGCCUCAGCCGAUCCCCCGCCCAUCGCCUGCAGUGCUUCUCAAAUAUUUUUGCAAUUGCAGGCCCCGCGCCGCCGCGCGCUUUCGGCUUCCCGUAUUGAGAACCAUCUGCUGCUGCCGUUAUUAGAUAAAAUAAAAUAGAGUUUGGGUAGAAAAAUAUGCGAAUAUACUUCUAUGUUUUCUGACGAAAUUCAUAAAAAAUAUAUCAUAAUUGACUCUGAUGAAAUUAUAAAAAAUAUAGUAUAACCGACUUAUCGCGAGCACGUAACGUAAUAUUUCUGUAAUUUCAAACGAAGUCUUACUGCUCGCAAAUGAGAACUAGAAUUCGCAUCGGCAUUGAUUCCAUCAUUUUUUAUUUAUGGAGAUUUUAGUGAUUUGGUGCAUUUUUUUAUUACGUAUAAAAAUAUCUCUUGAACUUGGCUACAAAAUUAUGCUUUGAUUCUCCUUUCAAAUUAAAAAAAAGCUUUCAAUAGCUAAUAUCUCUAUUAUUUUUUCUUUUUUAAAAAAAUAAUCACUAUAUAAUGAAUACUGAUUAUGCUGACUUAUUGUUAAGUUAGGAAGGUUAGGCUCAUUCUCUAUUUCGUAUAAGAAAAAUCUCUUAUUUUAAAUUUAAUAGCAAUUUGCAAAUCCUAUGAUACGGUUCAUCCAAAACUCAAUAUUCUUCUGUUAACAUCUCAUAAAACCUUUCAGAAUUUGAAUGGCUAGCUAGCUAUUUUAUUAGUUAUCGAAAUCUCAACCGCUAACAAUUAUUGGCUUCGUUUGGAAUCGCGAAGAGAUUGUAUUACGUGCGGUGAUAAACGACGAUGAAAAAAUAUCUUAUUUGUUUUCAUACAUAAUAUUGUGUUCCGCAUAUUGCGGUUAGUCGGUUACAAUAUAUUUUCUGCGGUUUCAUCGGAGAACGCAGAAACGUAUCCUGUAUACUUUUUCUCAACUCCACCAAACUAAGCCAUAGUCUUUAGCCAAUAAGCUCUACUUUGAUUGGCUAGAGUCUUCAAUUGUGAUGAAUUUAAAUUUCCGGAUGUGACUUAAAAGAUGAAUAACUUAAUAAAAGGAAAAAAACAAAAAACAAAAAACAAAAAAAAUAAAAGGAAAAGGAAAAUAUUUAUUAUAAAGGCUUAAUUACAUAUUUACAUUACAAUACAAAAUGCUAGAUAUUCAACUGGACAAUUCUUUGUAUUUCAGCCAUACUAGGGCAAAUCAGUCUUUUUAGCUCAAAAAGUAAUAAUUAAUGCAGACUACUAUGGAAAUUUAGAAGAUAUACACAAUUAAAAAAUAACUCAAAUUAUAUAUUUUUUAAACAUUUUUAAAAUUAUGUAUCAUCAAAAAAAAUUCGUCAUCACCACCGUCCACUUUGAAAUCUUCUAACAUCCUUAAUCAAAAUAUCCUCCCUCACUAGUUUUUCAACAUCGCAGCUUAAAUAGACAACCCCAGCUCAUAUCUGAGAUCAAAUGAAACUAUAACAGGGCCAUUUUAGACAUUUGCCAUUAGCGGAGUUGCUUAGAGGGAGGGUGUUUGAUUCCUCAAUAUUUUCAAGAAAAAAAAAAUUAAAAAAAUAUUUUUUCCCCGUUUUUAUUUUUCAGAUAAAAAAUUUUAAAAAUAAAAGUUAAUUUUCUACAUUUUUUUUAAAAAAAAAGAUUACUUCUAAAAAAAUAAAGAAAUAAAAUAUACUAUUCAGGUUAUAAUACUAUUUAUUUAGUAAAAUAUUAUCGGAAAAACCGAGCACACCCGUAUUUGGAAGAAGCGCCUUUCUUCUAGGGCCAUUUUCUCUUUCUCUCUCGGUCUCGUCGUAGUCUGAAAUAAGUCCGUAUGUUUAGCGUCAGGGGCUCGCCCGAUUCGGAGGGAAGCGAUCGGGUCGCGAAAAGCUCGCUCGCCCACUGUGAGUAUUAUUUCGCCCUUCAAUCACACCCUUUCAUCAUCAUCUUAUUAUCAUCAUCAUCAUUAUUAUUAUUUCUCUAAUCAAAUUGUCCUUGUUACAGUUUAUUCUUUUUCUCUAUACCGUGUUUAAAUAUAAUCUGUUUAAUAGGGUUUUUCAAAGGAUAAAGUAAUUAUCUAGGGGAUUAAUUUGUUUUUUUUUCAAUUGACAUUGUGUAUUUUGCUCGACUCCGACUGUCAAAUCAUGUUGAUUUUGACGCAAAAGGUUCUGCUUAUUUUCAUUGAAUAUAGUUUUUUCUUCUUUGAUUAUGGUAAUCUUGGCAUGAUUAUUUGAACGCAGAUAUCUAGGGCAAUCUAGGGCAUGUUUUGUUGACAAUUAGAACCGGAAUGAAAAAUUGGAUUUGAAAUCACUAUUUCAUUUGUUUGUUUCGCAAUUAAAAUAAGAAUUGCGAAGAGCUAUUAAUUUUUCACUUUGGAAUGAGAUUCUACUCUGGACUUCUAAGUUCGAUGCCAUUACACUACAGAGCUAAAUAUCGAAUCAAAUGGUAGGAAAUGGAAGAUAGUCACUCAAAUUCUAAUUCCAAGUACAAAACUUUUCCAACUAAACAUGCAGUUAAUUUCGAUCUAAAAAAUGAUUUUAAUUGCUUUUUCGAGAUAAAUUUAUGAAGAUGGAAAACACUGCCCGAAUAUAUCAGAAGUUGUAAUGAGACUUAAUCACUAAGAAGAAAUAUUAGAUAUUCAAUUAGGAAAUAAUACAUCUGUUUGAACAAUUAUUAGAAACAACUCCUUAAUUUGCAUAUCAUACUUUGUCUCUUAUAUUGUAAAUUAAGUAGUAAAGAAGUUCAAAAGUUGGUAAUUUGUAAUGGACCAGACACUCCAAUACUUAUUUUUGUUUUUCGGCUACAAUUGAUCCUUCAUUAUUGCAACUCUACUUGUUUCUUCCUAACACUAAUUAGACAGACAAAUUCUAAUUACAAUUGGAAUAAAACAAUGUUGGUCAUUAGUAUCACACACGAAGUUUUCCUCUUCACUUUUCAUAUUCUCGAUUUUUAUUAGUUUGACGGUGAACAUUCUGGAUAAUUUCUAUGGCUUAUUGCCUGUAAUUUACUUUUGACUAAAUUUAUCACCAUUCUCACUAAGACAUCAUGUUUUGCGGUUCGCAGUGUAUAUUAAUUUAAGACAAUUUUCUCUUGUCUUUGUUUUUCUCUUCUUUCUUGACUCUUUCUCGAUGCUCUGACAUUUUUUAUUGAAAAAUUUAUCUUCCUCAUUUUGAUGGGUUCUAGUUGCCACAGUCCGGUGGGUUUUGUCUUAAAUCUAUUUUGUUCAUUUUGUUAUAAGAUUUUCUGCUUGAUUUAGUUGUUUGGUGCUCCCAUGAGAAAAUGCCUUUUUGGUGUUUGAGGCAGCAUAGUCAUCAGCAAUUUCUCAGAAUAGCAAUUACCAUUCUAUUAUAAAGUUCAUUGAAUGAAAUCCUAUAAGUUACAUAUAGUUUGAACAUGUAGCUUGAACAUGUUCUUUAUAUGGAGGAGGCUCCCUUUCUGAAAUUUGCUUUCAAAAUUUUUUAAGUUAAUCUUACAUUCAAUGUUCUAAUCCAAAACCCAAUUCAUGGACACAGUCGCACAGUUGAAUUCGGCCCCAUAGCUAGAGGAGUUAAUUAUUAUCAUUGAGGAUCACAAUCCAUUACUCUUCUCAAACUCUUUGCAGUGCAGAUAAAAUAGCUUAUCCUUUUAUCAUGUUUGGAUGUCGAAAUGCAUUAUUUAAAAAAACUUAUUUGUUAUGAGACUUUAUAAUAUGAUGGUAAUUGGGGGGUUUAUUUUUUGUUUACUUAAGCCCCGUUUGGUUCAGGGGAUAAGCGGGGAUAACGAAAGUUAUCCCCGCUAUUCUGCCAAACAGGGUCAUUAUUUACCAGGAUAUUUUAUCCCGGUCAAAGCUUGCUAUUCCCGGUUAUUCCGGAAUAGCAAGCUUUUUACUAUUCCACCAUUUUAGUGGAAUAGUGCUAUUCCAAUGUUUAAUUUUAAACUUAAUUAAAAUUAUAAAAUGAAUUAAAACUAAAUUAUAUAAAUAUAAUAUAUUAUAUAUUAUAAUACAUUAUUUUUAUUAUAAAAUUAUUAAUUGUACUAUAUUAAUACAUAUUAUUUAUAUUUAAAUAUUGUAAUAAAUUUUAUAAUAAAUUAUAUUUAAAUAUUAUAAUAAAUUAAAAUUUAAAAUUUGAGAUUUUAAAUUUUAAAUUUUAAAUUUUAAUUUCAAAAUUUGAAAUUUAAAAGUUAAAAUUUUAAAUUUUAAAAUAUAAAUAUAAAAUAUAAAAAUUCAAUUUCUAAUAUAAAGAAAGGGAUAAUAUUAUUAUUUUUUUAUUUAUAACUACCCACUUUAAUUCUUAUUUCAUCUUUUCUAACCAAACGCUAUUUUUCUUAUUCCCAGAAAUAACCAAAUUUUCAUCUAAAUGCAAAAUUGAUCUAAUCCCCUCUUAUACUUUAAUUUAUAUUUAUCCUUGGAAUACCCACUUUUUGUUUAUUCCCGAACCAAAUGAUACCUUAAUCUUGCUUUUUAUAAUUUUAUAAGACAAUAUAUUUUAUUUAUGAGAUAAUUGAUUUUAUUUUAAAAAAUAAUUUAAGGACUAAAAAUUAUAUUUCAUUCUAAGCAUUCCUAAUAAAUCAAAAAAAUAUAUCGAAUAAAAGAUUUAUGCAUUGAAACAGGAUCUAAAUCUCCUUUUUUUUUUCUUUUUUUUUUUUUCUGGGCGAAAAUGGAGUAAUUAUUAAGUCUUCAUCUUUAUUCCAACUGUACUGUACUAAUUACUUGCCAUUAUUAGAACAAGUUUAAAGGAGGUUCAUCGUGAACUCGACUCAAUUAAUUACGCUUAAAACCCACUUUCCAUUUCGGGUAAAUUACAGCUGGAGGAGGCGCGGGCGAAGAAGGCAAAAUAGGCGCCAAAACCACCAUUUCCUCGGCGGUCGCCGGAACCCACGGAGCGCCGACUCUCCGCGCUCCCUCGCCCUCCCGGCGCCGACUUCGCGAAGAUCCGUACACAGAGGCGGAGCACCGGACUCAGAUGGCCGGCAUGUAUAUCCUCGACGAUCACGAUUCCCUUCUCCGCUCCCCCCACUGCGAUCACGAAGCCGAGGCGACCACCCCCGUUUCCCUCGAUCCCGUUCCCCGUCCCCGCCCCCUAGGGUUUCCGAGGCUCCUCUCCACCUCGACCUCUCCUCCUCCGCCCCGCCCGUGGCAGCGGAGGUACCUCGGCCAACAAGGGGGGAGCCGCUUCGGGCGGAGGGUGCUCGACGCGGCAGCGGUGGACGAGAUACAUGGGGAGACGACGGCGGAGCUCACUAAGGGGCGAGGCGGCGAGGCGGCGAGCCCCUCGUCGUCGGAGUCGAGGAAGAGGAAGAGGAAGAGGGAUCUCGAGGAGAUGGUGAGGUGGGUGAGGGACGUCGCCGCCAAUCCCUGCGACGAGUCCAAGGUCGUGAAGGAGCGGAAGCGGCAGAUCCUGGUGGCGCGGCGAGCUAUGUUCGUGAAGGUGGAGGAGCUCACCGACGUGGAGGAGUUCCCUAACUUCUCUGGGGUAAUGGUUUCGCGUACAAGCACUUGUGUUCUUCCCUUACCAUGCUUUUCUUGCCCUACUAGAGGUUAAGGAAGGAAUAUGAGGUUUCCAUGUAGUAAUGCAUGCAGUGUACUUGCCGAUCCUAUGCUUUGGCUGUAUCUAUUACUAACUCUGAUGGAGCUCAGAACUAGGCAGAGAGAACAAAAGGGAAUAAUUAAUAAGGUAAAUAGGAAAAUUGCAGAUGACAACAAACCUGCAUUGAUCUGCAGUCUCGUAUAUUGGCCAUGUUUUCUAGCUUCAGUGUAGUCCUAAUGAAAUGAGAUAAAAUGACAGUUGGAACAGCUUCAGCCAACCUUCUUUAGCUUUAGCUAACAAAAGUUACGAAACAUUCCUCACUAAGUAUUUGAGCAAUUUAAUAGUUAUCAUCAUAUAACAAUUCAGGGAGUGUGUUCAGCUUGGAGCAUGCAUUUGAUGCUGAGUUUCUGAAAUUAUUCAAAUGGUCAGUAUUCCUGUGAGUAUUGAUUCAGAUAUACUACUUUCACCCGUGUUGCUAUUUUGGUCCGGACUGGAUAACUGCCACCAUGCUUUCUUCGUUAUGAUUUCUGCCUGUUCAUUAGCUUCUAUUUUUUUCUUUUUUACUCUUUUUAUGUUGGCACAGUGUUUUCUCUUAGGAAAGUACUGAAUUCAUUGGGCAAAUGAAUAUGUACGUAUGUGGAACAACAGGGUUCCAAGAGGAGACAAAAAUCCAAUAGUACAAAAGAGAGAUAAGGGGAAUUAGCCAAGGAAAAAGAAAGAAAAGCAAGAAUAAAGCAAUUAAUCAAGAAAAAAGGGUUACAAGUAUACAUAAAAGACUACAAAAAAGAAAAAAAAAAUGAAGAAGCUCCAACUUUACCCAAAGAAUAGCACAAUCCGAACAUGCUUAUCUGUUGAAAAAACAAAAAAUCCGCCGAAGUGUAAGCAAAUUUUGCGGCCUCUUAAUGUCACUCCAUUCUUUCCACAUCUGUUAUUCAAUUAUGCUAACUGCUUUCAGGUCAGAUUUCUUCUGCCUUAAAAUUCUGUUGUUUCUUUCGACCCAGACUCUCAACCAUAUAGCACAGAUUGGAGUUUCCCAACCUUAUCUUAGAUCUUUAGGGAUGCUUUUUAUCCUCCACUUUGUUGGCCGGAUAAGAGGAUCCCAACCUUGUCACAGAUAGUUGGAACAGUGUUGUUUUCUCUUUUACAUUAAGCUUUUUAUAUUUUAAAAUUAUAGAUGACCAUUAUCCAUUAUGGUGUUUACUAAGACUAGUUACAGAGACACAAACUUUGUUGAUGGUGCAUAACUUUAGUUUAUAUUCUGUGUUGGGGUAAUUACCUUAGUGUUGAAUCAAGCAAGUCAACUAGAAGAGAAAAGAACUAUAUGUAUUCUGAAUUUUGUAACACUAAUGCUUAACUAAAACCGAUAACCAGAAGGUGGUAGCUCGAUUACUUUACAAUGGGUUCAUGUCUAUUAAUUAGCUUUAGCGGGGUGCAUCGUCUUGAAAGCUAAUGAGAGUACAAGAUAAUUUCCUUAAUGGGUCUAGUAAUUGGUCCUGAGUUAACUCCUUAUAUGCACGAAACCAGAGCUCAUUCGUGAUUUAUCAUUUAUAAGUAUUCUUUUGAGUUUUGAAAGCCUUUCCGCAAGAAUCCUCUGGUUGAGAUCCUCAUCUAAUGGUGUAAGUUCUAUAAAUUCAACGCAGAAAUUUAAAUUUAAAAUUCGCCUAUUUUGAGUUGUGAGUUCCAUGUUUGCUAUUUCACGACACAAUUGUUUUGGACAUAACUGUAUCAGCAUUCUAAUUCUAUUUCAUUUCUUUAUGUUUUCGCCCACUGCAGGAAACUGUGUUGUUUGCUCCUGUGAUCCUUUCAUGCAGGGAAAUUAUUCCAUUCUUUUAACCGUCGUUGAAGCUUUUGCCUUUACGUCCUUGAUUACUUGUCUGCUCCAAUUCUUCACCUAACUGGAUAGUUUGAUUUCUCCAGAAAAGGCAGAAAGCAAGCGGCUGGUCAUUGGAAGAACAACACAAGAAACCACCACAGGUACCAUUACGGAGAUCCCAGAGAAUACCUAAAAUAGUUAAGAUUGCAUCCACUUACCUCGUGAAGAAAAAACUUGGAAGGGGUGAACAAUUUCAGGCCGAUAUACUGGAGUGGAGAGGGCCCCCGUCAGAGAAAGACAUUUCUGGGUACAAAGAAGAUCCGAAUACCUUGAAGUGGGUAGGCAUGCGAGUCUGGCCAGUAGAUGGAGCUGUAAUAGAAACUAGUGUGGCAGAGACUGGAAAAGGAAGGCUGGAUAUGUGUGAUUGCCCCUUUCCAAGAUCCAUGGCUUGUGUCAGAUGUCAUAUAAGAACGGCAAGGAAUCAACUCAAGUCUGAGUUGGGUCCAGCUUUCUCAAGUUUGGGUUUUGAUAAGAUGGGAGAAGAAGUUUCUAACUUGUUAACUCGUAACGAGCAGAUGAGGUUUAAUGCUCUUGAGCGACUGAAUCCUUCGUCACUAGGAAAGACUUUUUGGGGCAUUGUAUCGAAGCAUUUCAACUCAAAGAGCUUGACAGAAUUGGUGAACUAUUUCUUCAAUGUUUACCUGCCGAGGCGAAUGGGCAACCAGAGCAGAUUGACUCCUUCAGAGGUUGAGAGUGAUGACGAUGAUGAGGAGGAAGAUGAUGUUGAGGAACCCCAGGACGAUGCAGACAUGGGAAAAUCUGUUGAGGCUUCAAGUUCUGGCUCUUCUCGAAGGUACUCAAGCUGGUAUUCUGUUAGUAUGUCUGUUAUUCUACUUUCUGAAAUACUUCUGUAACUAUUUAAUUGUGAGAAAAGUGAAAUGAAUAAUUUAUCAGUUGGAAAGUAAGGAGGUUUGAAGUUCUAGGGUAAAUAUUCUCUGCCCAUGUUCUAAAUUCUUGAAAUUUCUGUUCCAGGUCUCAAAAGGCAAGGAGGUCGUGAGAUUCUGCUGUUGACUCAGGAUAUACUUCAGUAACAGGAUCUCAGCAUUACUUUAGCUUUCUAGACAGCCCUCUAGCAAGAGAUUCUUCUCAUUUGAAUUUCAUGACAGUAGAGUCUUAGUGGUUAUGGGUCCAAUUUUGCAGUACAGAAGGCUCAUAAUCCAUGAGGCUCAGAUCAUUAGGUAGGGUGUUUUUUGGGAGCUAAAAUCACCCCUAACAAUUACAUUGGAAGGAUUAUGAGGCUCAGAUCAUUAGUUAGGAUGUUUUUCGGGAGCUAAAUCACCCCCUAACAAUUACAUUGGAGGUAAGCGCCGGCAAGUGUUAAGGUGGAGAGUCAUUUUUUCACUGUACAGGUGACCAAGAAACAAGACUGGUGGAUGAGAGAAAGCUCAUACUUGCUGUUAUACUCUUUCUUGAGCAAUUUUGUCAAAGUGUUGUUAGUUGGAUUCUGUUUAUUGCAAUUGAAAACAACCUGGACAAUUUCUAUUAAUUUUCUUCUUGGACAUUUUAUGCGUCGCUGAUGGAACCUUUCUGUUUUAAAUGUGUUUCUGUUCAUGUCAUGCAUGUAUGGAUGUAUAUGUCAUGCAUCAUCAGGGUAUUUGGCUGGGAAAUAGCUUUCGCCGAUGCUCCUGAUUCUCUUUAUGUUUUCGCUGUAUUUGUGAAUCUGGCACCGUCUUCUUAAGCAACCUUUAUUUGGAUCCAAGAUACGAACCAUCAUGGACGGAUGACCUGUUGACAUUUUUUUAGGAGGGACGAAGUAGGGUAUGUACAAUCAGAGACAAUUAACGCAGGGAAGCUCAGUUUUAAUCAAACCAUGUUGGCGCCAUAUGAUGUGAUUUGUCCGUUUGACUUAAUCAUCCCCAUUUAUCAUUGUGCUUGGAGCUGCUAGACUUUGCUGAGGACAAAUUUAUAGCUUGUGUCUGUUUGUCUUCAUGGAAACCUUCUAUUUCAGUUCUUAUUUUUUUAAUCGGUAAUUCUUCAUUGAAGUUACGUAUAUCAAUUCAAGAAGGCGUAGAGCCACUAUGCUUUCAAAAAUAUAAGGGAGUUGGUGCUUUCGACUUUUUGAUUCUUAAAUCAAGAAUCGUAGGAAUCAGAAUGAUAGUGGUCCUCCUUAGAAUAAUAAUAUGAAUUCAACAUAAAUGGUCAAAGGGAUUUGAUUCAAGGGUUAAAAAGAUGGAAGCACCAAUUUCCUUAUGCUUUCGAAAACAUAGUAGCGUUGCUCAUCAAAGAAGUAUCCGCUUUUUCCAAUUCAGGUUAACAAGAAAUCUUUUUGAACUUGUUUUAUUUGUUUCAUGUGUUUAAAAAGCUUUUAUGUAAAAAUAUGGCUAAUUUGAAACCAAAUCAAACCCGUCAUUGCGUGUCUUCAAGUGCAUAACCACACUAGGCUCAUCCAAAAUUGUUUGAUACCUUUAUGUCAUUCUUACCUGGUGGAACCUCUGCUCUCAGUUAUUCUAUUAUUACAAAUCCGAAUUUCUUUCCAAGUCAGUUACGCAGUUUUGCAUGUUAGAAGAGCUCUUUAGUCUUAGAAUUAACUAGGAAUUUAAUCUUUCGCAUUUCCACAUUAUGCAUAGUUAUAUAUCCUUCUCGUUUGGUGAGGCUCCAAACUAAGUCUAGUACAUACUGUUUAAUCUGCAAAAAAUACAUCAAGACUUUCUUUUGUCGUGAUUGCGUUCGGUAUGUUUUCUUCUACAGUUCUUUAAUAUUUUGGAUUUCUCCAAAUGUGAUCUUUUAUCAUGUGAUAUUGUUUUGUUAAAUAAAACUUUGGGCUAGGCUAUAUAACCUCACCCCCCAACUGUAGCUGAUUAAGGAAACAGACCACUUUUCACUCUUUUUUUUAUCUGAACCCUCGACUAGCAUGAUGAUUGAUUUUAUGAGGUUUCUAUAAGCGCUCAACAGUCUCAAUACCAAUUUUUUGUAUAAUUUCGUAUUACUGUCUUAAGUUGUGGCUAGCAUUAGUUUUACUGCAGUUGUGAUUAAAGUGCAUAUAUAAAAAGUGUUCUACUAAGUUAGGACACUACUAAUUAAGGAGAAUUGUAAUUAGCUGCGACUUAGCAUCAGCGUUGUUAACAAGAGUUCACCAGCAUGCAGUUAUAUUGAGUAUUCGAGCCCUUCGAGGCAACACGUACGGAUGCUUAGCCAGUCUCAGCCAAAAAGAAAAGCUUACAGCAUUAUGUAUAAUAUAUUUUUGGUUAGUUAAGGUGGUAUCUGUUAAAUAUAAAAUCGUUUUCUAACCGUUUAAAUUUUUAGAGUACAACGAUUGUUUUACAGUAUCAUUAUUACUAUCCUAGUUGCUUGCAUUGCAUGAUCCUUUGUUCUCCAUUUUCUUUAACCAAAUAAGGACAAAGUGGUCCACAGUGAAACAGUUAAACAUAUCAUAGCUCUUGACUUUUGAGACUAAUACAAGGGCUACAUCAUAGCAAAUUAGCUCCUACCAUCUGAACCAAACGCACCGCGCGCGUUUUUUUCUGCAAGAAACAAAAGUAAGCAUCAUGCUUAGAUGUAAAGCCAUGAUCAUAGGAUCAUCCACAAGGUUUUAGAUGUAAAGCCAUGAUCAUAGGAUCAUCCACAAGGUUUUUGAGUUGCGGAGUGAAAGAAGUAAAAGACACCUCUUUUACUUUGACAGUGACUCCCCACAUUCGUUUUUACUGCAUGUUUUUGCGGAGGUAAAUACUAUACUAAUCUAGUUUACCCGCUUCUCCAUCAGAGGGGGUGAAAAUAUUUAUUUUUUUUGUUUUUUUUUUUUUUUUAAAGAAGCAAUAAAAGUAGUUGAUGCUCUCUGCUUUUCCCCACUUCGAAUACCUUUGAAUUCCAUGCAAAUCCCAUCCAACUUUAUGACCAAAAACUCUCUCUCUCUCUCUCUCUCUCUCUCUCUCUAUAAAGUAUAAAAGUAUAGGGGCCCCUUUUGAGAACUCCAAGGCAUGUUCUGAAUAAUGCAGUACCCAUCCACAGCAAUUUGUAGUGCCAGGCCAAAGAUUUAAGAUCUCCUUUGGAAUAUUGUAAAUCCCUAAGAAGGUUAAGCCUUGGAACUGUCCCUUUUCUCUAAUGAGCUGCAAUGCUUUCUCCCUCUAGUGAUGUUCCAAACAAUACAUUCCCCCUCUUGGGAUUCCCCUCCAACAAGAUUUGUUUUAUAGCAAGCACACAAUUAUAUAUGCUUAAUCUUAGGUGCUUGCGGAGUGCAUGUUGUCUAUGUGUGGGGCUUUUAAAGCGGGUAAUGAUCAUAUCUAACAAAGUUUAUUUAUAAGGGGCCGGGUGCCCAGAAAAAAAAAAAAAAAAGUCUCUGAUAUCACCAAACAGGAUCAAAUAGGAUGAAACACCACAUGGUAUGGCAAUCAUGAGAUUGGUACUCCUCUUUUUUUUCUUUUUCUUUUUUCUGUUUUUUUUGAGUUAAAAUUUUCACUCUUUCUCUCCCUUUUUUAUGCUUGUGAGAUGUGUCCUUGCCGUUUGCAUUUCUCCCUGGCUUUUGCAUGCCUUUCUUAGUAGGCAAAAUGCUGCUACAAAGCCUUGCAGGAAAUGUUGCAAUGAGGACCCCAUCUAGCACAUAUGAUAAAUCCCAAGGUUCUAUAAUGAAAGCUUAAAAAAUAUUCCCAUGAGUGCCCCAUUGGCAUGAUAAAGCAACCUAUUACUCUCCAAAUAUUUCAAGUUCUAUUUCGCUAUUCAGUAAUUAAAUUCUAGCAACAGUAGUAAAAAUUGCAACUUUUCUUCUUCUUUUUAUAGUCUUUGCCAAUGAUUAAUGACAGUUCCUUUUUUAUCUUUCUUACAACUAAUUCAGCAGCUGCAGCUAAUAACUCAUCAUGGGAAAAGCUAAUCCCAAAUAGUUGCCUUAAAACCGGUGUGUUAUGUUGUUCCUCAGAAAAGAGAAAAAGUAAAAAAGAACUAUAGACUAGCUAGCAGUUGAUGGCUAUACUAUCCAUAGACGCUGCGAAUUAAACAACCGAUUAGCUUCAUUAAAUGCUUAAGAUCGACCAUCGAUGUAUAAAAAGGAUGCGUUAAUUGCACAUUUUAUAUAUCUAUUCUUGCUGCUCUAGCAUCAUAACAAAUAACUGAUAUACUCUAGCUAAUAAACUUAAGCUGAUAUAAUGCAAUACAUACAUACGUGCCACAUCGAUCUUUUGUCUCGGCAGGAAACAAACAACAAAUGGCAUGGUUCAGUCGGAGGCAUAGUUAACGUGCCAAUAGCUAGCGUUUGGUCCUUAGUCUCGCUAAGCUCGAGACUCUCCGAAUGGAUGCCCAUGGUAGAGAAGUGUACAAAACUAGCAGGCGAAGAAGGCGUUCCUGGAUAUACGCGCUUAAUCUCCGGCCUUAUGUUCCCCAGCGACGACGGGGACAGGUCAUGGCUCAAAGAGAGGUUGAUUUUGAUGGAUAGCCCUUCAUACAGUUAUGUGUAUAAGAUGGAGUCGAGCAAUGUGGGGCUUGAUGGGUCUAUGAACACCCUUAGGCUUGUGGAUUAUGGCGAAGGAUCAACACUAGUGGAGUGGGAAUUUCAAAUUGAUCCCAUGGAGGGAGCAGAUGAAGAAACAGUUGUAGACUAUUUGGGCUUCGUUUAUAGGUCUUGUAUCAAUAGAAUUGAGAGGGCUAUCGAGCAAGCCACCAACAAAGAAUAGUUGUGUAAAACAUAUACACUAGCUCGCACUGAUUUUAUGUAUCAUGUUUAUAGUAUUUAAGUAAAGAUAGAAUUGUUCAGUUAACCUCUUGAUCAGAUUUUUUUUUUUUUUUCUUUUCCAUUACUCCCUCCUUUUCUACCGGAGAAGCAUAAAUCGGACAUGCAUUCGACGGAUAAAUAAAAAAGUCUGAAACUUUUGAUUGUCGCAAGAUUGACGGGAAUAAACUUGUAAAUACCAAUACACUUCGACAACGGAUUGGUCAGAACUUCUCAACCAACCUUACUAGUUAAGUAUAAUUUUCCGAAAAACCUCCAAUCAAGCCACAUAAACUUGACCAGAAUGCUGAGACUGUCAGAUUAAUUGACAGUAAGCGCGUUUUGAAGUCUUUUGAUUAAAGAAAGAAAAAGGGAAGGUGGAGUAGAAUGAUUAAGUAUCAUCUGUAAAGGUACUAGAGAGAUGAGACAACGUAUAUAUGCCAGCUUUCAGAAGCUUAGUUUUCUUAAUUGAAGUACUAAUUAAUUAUUGAUCUUCUAGUUUUACUAGACAGGCCAUCCUCUAAUUGUUAAUAAUUAAUCUUCUCUAGUAGGACAAAUCUGAAGUGGUCACAGCAAAUCCAAAUGCCCUUUUGUUCUCUCUUAUAAAUUUGAUCCAUUAAAAACUACCACAGGAGUUGAACUUUUUCAUUAAUAAAAAACUGAGAAUAUAAGAAAAGGGAAGAGAACAAAGGAAUGGGGAUAGAAAAAAGAAGGGUAGGGAAAGGGAAAGUUCACACCCCAUCUGAAUAAAGCUCCCGAGACAAAUUAAUACUUUGACUACCCGAAUCUGCUCACCAAACAAUAAGAAAUUAAUUGAUCACGACAGAUCCGAACGGGGGCCCGGUACAUGCUGUUGAGCCUGUUUAAUUAUUCGGAUGCAUCCCCAGAUGCUAUCACCCUAAUCUCCAAAUCCUUUGCGAGGGGACAAGGGAGUUAAUUUAUUACAAGGGCAUCAAACCAUAAAUUAAAAACAAGUUGGCUAGUAAUGUUAUUUUUAGAAACCUAUUUACCGACGUUGUUUCUAAUGCCCAACGCGUUGGAAACUGUCAACGGAAUAGGCUGAGUUCUGCAAAGCUGGGCGAUAUCUAUAAAUUUUGAGUACUCGAUUUGACGUCGCAAUUGUUUUUAACCUUUUUAUGACUCUUCUUAUAAUUUUCUUUUUAGACCUUUUCUUUUUUAAUUUUUAAUCCUCUUGAGGCUCCUGCUGCUUCACUCUAUAUAGCUAAAUUCAUUAUCUUAAUGAAUGAAGAAGGCAACGUUCUAUUUUCUUCUCCAAAAAAAAAAAAGAAAAGAAGUUGGCUAAUCGACUAUCAUAAGAAAUUAAGCUUAAUUUAUAUAUAUAUAUAUAUAUAUAUAUACUAGUGUAGAGGCCCGCGCGAUACAGCGGAUAAACAAUAAAAGCAAAAUUUUAAACUUUUAAUAAAAUUUAUAUUUACAGCUUAUUGAUGUAUAGGAAGCUAUACCAUGUUAAGUACAGUCAAUUUGCAUGACUAAAUUCAGCUGCUAAAAAAAUAAAAUUAUAGUUAGAAGCUUAUAUAAUUUUUUUUAAAAUCAUCAAAAUACAGUAAGAGACAUACAAUUUUAUCGUAUUAUGUGCCUAUUGAACAUUCCAUUGUGAAAGAUANAAAAAAAAAAAAAAAAAAAAAAAAAAAAAAAAUUGUACAAUAUGAAAAUGCAUAAUGAGGAUUGCAUAACAGUGAACCCUGUUCUUUGUCUUAAUAUAUGAAUUUUUUUUAAAAAAAAUUAUUAAUGACGACAGUACUUCAUGUUGUUGAGAUAUGAUAAUAAAAGUCACCUGUUAUUGUCUAUAUUUUUUAAAAUUACAUGUAAAAUACCAAUUUAAGCUUAGAUUUCUUGAUCAUUCCAGGUAUGUCGGGUCCUCAAAUAGCUGCAGCGACCAGUGGUAAGAAAACCCCUGAUCAAUCGGCACAAAAUUUCGAAACAUUUUGCAAAAAUUUGAAAAGAAUAAUAUAUAAGAAAAAAAACUUUAGGCCUCUCUUAGCUUCCUCUUAUAAUUAGUAUAUACUUAAUUACUCUACAGCAUCACUUGUGGGCGCGAUAAUACUUCUCUUGGUAGUUUUCCUCAUCACCAAAUUUUGCCGAAAGAAGAAACUGCAAAAGAAUGACCCGUCAAUAUUGCCAGUGAAGACUAGCAGUAGUGAUGGAACUCCACCAAAGAUUUCUUCCAAAAGUGAAGGCUCAGCGACUGAAGCAGAACCAAUCGAGAGGUUCCUUGAUGAAGUACUUAGAGACAGGCCUGUGAGAUUCACACCCCAACAGCUUAUAGCUUUUACCGAGAACUAUUCAGUAAAGCUUGGCUCAGGUGGCUUUGGUGAAGUCUACAAAGGGCAAUUCCCCGGCGGAAUGCAUAUAGCAGUUAAAGUCUUAAAAGCGAGCAUGGACAAGAGAGCCGAGGAGCAGUUCGUGGCCGAGGUCGGAACGAUCGGUCGAACCUGCCACAUUAAUCUUGUCAGGCUCUACGGGUUCUGCUUCGACAAAGCACUCAAAGCACUUCUCUACGAGUUCAUGGAAAAUGGCUCGUUAGAUCACUACAUAUUUGACGAGCAAAAUAGGCUCGAGUGGCCGAAGCUGCAUGAGAUUGCCAUUGGAACGGCGAAAGGAAUCCAGUACUUGCACGACGAUUGCCACCAAAAGAUAGUGCACUACGAUAUAAAACCCGCCAACGUCCUUCUCAGUAGAGACUUAAUUCCCAAGGUUGCAGAUUUCGGUUUAGCGAAGCUGUGUGAAAGGGAUAGUGACAGUUACAAUAACAUGACGCUCAACGCGGCGAGAGGGACUCCGGGGUAUGCUGCUCCCGAACUGUGGAAGCCGUUUCCGGUCACCCACAAGUGCGACGUGUAUAGUUUCGGCAUGCUUCUAUUCGAGGUACUCGGGAGGCGAAAGAACCUCGACCCUAAGCAAAGCGAGAGCAAAGAGUGGUUUCCAAGAUGGGUGUGGGAGAAGAUUGAGAAGGGAGAUAUGGAGAGCAUACUAUCGCUGUCGGGGAUAGCCGAGGAGGAUAGAGAGAGGGGAGAGAGGAUGUGUAAGGUAGCGUUGUGGUGUGUUCAGUACGAGGCGGAGGCGAGGCCUUCGAUGAGUAGUGUGGUGAGGAUGUUGGAGGGGGAGGUUGAGAUCGAUCCCCCUCUGAAUCCUUUUCUUUAUCUGACUCAAUCUGAAGUACUAGUAAACUCAGAUCAGUGGACUGGGACUGCAACAAACGACUUAACUUGGACUGGGACUGCAACAAACGAUUUAACUAGUAAGGGAACUAGUAAGGAUCAAUGGUGAACGGGAGAGUUCAUGAAAAUGGAUUCUUAUACAUAUUAUAGAUAUUGAUAUUGUUAUUCUUACAUUGAUAUUGUUAUGCUGCUUGUGUUAGUUUGAAAAUGGAAAAUAAAGAAGAGUGUUUGUAUUUUUCUAAAAUAAAGAGGAAUUUCCUAGCUUAAAGAAGUUGAUUUUUUUUUUUUUUAAGGUUAGGAAUAUUCUAGUGCUGUAUUGAAUGAAAAAUAGUUUAAUUAUCAUACAGGGAAAAAGCAAUACACUAUAGUCGAAAUAUUAUAUAUUCUUUCUUUCUUUUUCUUACAAGGUUCAAAUUGUAAUUAAGGAUAAUGAAAAAUAUGUUGUUGUUUCAAAUUUUUGGAUAUAUACCUAAUGGAGAAUUAAAUUUUUGGGUAGCUAAUGGAGAAUUCUUUAGCCAUGCAGGAACAUUCUUAAGACCCACUUUAGUUGGGCAUAUCCAAGCUUAUUUCCCAAACACAAAAGAGAAAAAGGUAGACCAGAAAUAAAGUUGUUUAAAAUUUUUUAAUGAAUUAUCCUAGAAUAAGAGAGAACUACAUGCCAGUGCAACAUGCAAUUUAACCAGGCAGGUUGUUCCCCUCAUUAGUCUUAGCCAACUACAUUAAUUUACCAUUUUACAUUUAAAAAAUCAAUAUUUAUUAUGUGGAUAAUAUCAUCCAAUGUGUUAUGCCAUCUCAAAAGCAGGUGCAAAUACAAUUUAGGCUGUGAGUGAGGUUCCUUUGGACAUUAUACUGAACCCACCAUUUUGUGAUUUAUCUAAUCUCUUGCUGAUACAAAUUUCAUCAUCCAAAUUCCAUCCUUUUCUGUUCUAGAGAGUGAGCAUGACAUUAAUUUAUUUCAACCAACCAUUUAGCCAUCAAUACCAUCAAAUUCUGAUACAUGCCGUCAUCGAUAUUUAUGAGAUUAUGAAAGAUAUCUAAGACUUUGUUGGUUAUGAUUUUUGAAUUACCCGAGAUUGGUGGACCCGAGACAACUCAACUCAACUCACUAAAAUAUUGGAAAGUUUCUUUGGUUGAUUAAGAAAUUACUUUGACCUAAGUGUAACAUUCCAAUAGUCCCACAUCGGAUGGAAAAAUAAUUCUGAUUGGAUUAUAUAAGAUCUCAUACGCUAUUUUGAGUCGGUGAUUUGGGCCGAACGAAUUAUUAUUGCCAGCGAGUCAGAUUAUUGUAAUUGGUAUCAGAAUCGAAUACUAACGAAUUAUUAUUGCUAGCAGAUCGGAUGCCCAAAGAAUUAUUAUUGCUAGUGAGUCAGAUUAUUGUAAUUGGUAUCAGAAUCGAAUACUAACGAAUUAUUAUUGCUAGCAGAUCGGAUGCCCAAAGAAUUAUUAUUGCUAGUGAGUCAGAUUAUUGUAAUUGGUAUCAGAAUCGAAUACUAACGAAUUAUUAUUGCUAGCAGAUCGGAUGCCCAAAGAAUUAUUAUUGCUAGUGAGUCAGAUUAUUGUAAUUGGUAUCAGAAUCGAAUACCAACGAAUUAUUAUUGCUAGCAGAUCGGAUUGUUGUAAUUGAUAUCAGAACCGAAUACCAGCCGUAAGUGUAUUUGUACUGCCUUAAUAGUCUCAUAGAAAUUUAUUAGUGUGAUUUAUCCUAUGAUCUAGGGAUGCAAACGGGGCGGAUCCGGGGGUGGGAGAGUUCCCCCACCUCCCGCUCCAUUUCUUAUCGGGGCGGGGCGGAUUCGGGGCGGAUUAUACUUUUCUAUAUUUUUUGUUCCCACUUACCACCCCAUUCGGGACGGAUCGGGGCGGAGCUCCACCAACCGGAUCCAUUUGCAUCCCUACUAUGAUCGCUUGAGCCGUUAGAGCAAGUGCUCCGAUUUGUCCGUACUUAAUCAUAUUCUUCAACUUGCAUAGUUGCAUGUGAGGGUAAUCCUAAAUAAAAUUCUCAACAUGAAUUUUGACAAGAUUUCCUAUCACUACUUGAACUUUUUUAAGUGAAAGCCGAUGAGUUUGAUAAUCCAAUAAUGCAAUUGUGAUGGCCUCCAAGAAGUACAAAUCUAGUAACUAAACAAUUAAGUUCGUUGCCACCGCAGUCUAUAAUGCAAUCUACUACUUGAGGUUUUGCCUAGCCUAAAUUCUUUUCUGUAAAAAUAUUAGCCACACAACUCACGCGCUGCUAGGCACAUUUACAUAAAAAAAAAAAUAAUAAUAAAUGAAUUAAUUGAAUUAAUUGUUGAAAGCAAUCAAUUGUUAAAAAUCUUAAUAAUUACAGUAUAUUAAGCUAUAAUAUGCAAUUUUAGGAGUAUAUUUUUAAUAGAGAUAUCCCAAAUAUGCAAUAUUCUGACCCGACCUGAACCUGAUCCGGACUCAACUAAAAAUGGAUAGUAUACGAGUAAAAAAAAUUAAUUAUUAAAGUUUCGGGUAUUACCUUAUACCCAUAUACCCAAUCCGGACCGGAUCUUGUGGUGGAUAGGGUCCGAAAUAGUAUCCGGACCCGGAUCCAGAUCCGAUAAAAUAUCUGACUGUCUAAACUUAAAACAAAGAGAAAUAAAUUUAAAAAAUCUGUAAAAAUUGAAAAACUUGAUACUUAUCUUUUCGCUAUUAUAUUUCGGACUUAUUGUAUAUGCGCUUUAACUAUAUCAUAGUAGGCACAUGUGUUACAUGAUAUAUGAAUAAUUAUAUUAUAGGGUGUGUUUAAUUGGAGUCUUUGGACUUAUCAAUAUAAUUUCAACUAUUAUGUUGUUGUAUGUGUUUAGGGUGGUGUUAUAUAUAUUUUAUAGUAAUUAAUACAAGUGUAAGCAUUACACAUUUUAUAUUUUUGUUUUAAAUUUAUAAUAUAAUAUAUAUUUUUUGAGUAAUUAAUACAAUUUGUUUCUAAAUCUGUAUACGAUCUUAAAUAUAUAGUAUACGAUUAGUCACUAUCCAGACAUGCUCAAAUAAACCCGAUGGGUAUAAUAGUAACUAAAUAUUCGAACCCACAUCUCUCCCGAACUUGAAUGGGUAGAGUAUGUCUUUCUUUACUGGCCAUUCCUAGUGCAAGUGGCAAAGAGGUUAGUGGUUGGUACCCGAGGUCCCUAGUUCGAAUCCUAGUUGAUUCAUAUUUCUAGCUAAGUUUAUUUCUAAAUGACAUAAACGAUUACAGUAUAUUAACUCUCCCUGUAGUAGAUCUGGUCGACGGCCAUAUCAUUUUGUAAGUACCUACUAGUGUAGAAACCCGCGCGAUGCAGCGGAUAAACAAUAGAAGCAAAAUUUUAAACUUUUAAUAAAAUUUAUAUUUACAGCUUAUUGAUGUAUAGGAAACUAUACCAUGUUAAGUACAGUUAAUUUGCAUGACUAAAUUCAACUGCUAAAAAAAUAAAAUUAUAGUUAGAAGCUUAUAUAAUUUUUUUAAAAAUCAUCAAAAUAUAGUAAGAGACAUACAAUUUUAUCAUAUUAUGUGCCUAUUGAACAUUCUAUUGUGAAAGAUAAAAAAGAGUUAGCUCCAAUGCAGCUGAAUCAACCCAGCGGGCACUUAUAUGGGCCGCGGCUCGGCUUUGCGGGACGAUACUUUUUGAAGGAGACAACGUUCUUUGUAUGUUCUUCUUCUUCUUCAUCAUUCUCAUCAUUUUUAUUAACACAAUGAGAGAGAGAGCUAGAUGAGUAUGGGGUGGGAGAUUAGAUGAUGAUAUUCUUUUUUGCAUGAAAAAUAACAGGCCAUGUAAAAGAGAGGGGGGGCGGGGGAUUAAUAGAGGUGGGGAGUGGAUUGGAAUUACAAAGCCUACUCAUUGGUAGAAUAUGCUGCAUAUAAUUAAAUGUUGUAUUUUGGAUUAAUUAAUUCUCAUGAUUUCAAAGAACUGAGGAGGUUUGAGGGAGAAGAGGGAGAAGUAAAAAUAACCAAUAUUGAAGAGAAAAAUAAGUAACGUAUAAAUUAAAGAGUGCAUUGAUUAAAGGUUAUUGAAUAGAGAGAAGGGGAGAGGAAAAGCCAAGAUCAUUGAAUAGGAG